UUUGCUAUUACUGUGGACGCGAGGAAAGAACUACUAAAAGAUCAACAUCUCAACGAUGAUAAAACUUCUAUUGAGGAAAAUGGGCCAAAAUCUAUUUUAAACCGUCUCAACGAUGAGAAGUUCGAUCCCAAACGUCCCGAGUUGUUUGGUUAUCAUUACGACGACGAUGAUAAAAAAGACAAGGCAUCAUCAUUUGAGAAGUUCGAUUCCAAACGUCCUGAGUUUUUUGGUUAUCAUUACGACGACAAUGAUAAAAAAGACAAGUCAACGUCAUUUGAGAAGUUCGAUCCCAAACGUCCUGAGUUCCUUCACUAUGGUUACAACGAUGAUGAUAAAAAAGACAAGUCAACGUCAUUUGAGAAGUUCGAUCCCAAACGUCCUGAGUUCCUUCACUAUGGUUACAACGAUGAUGAUAAAAAAGACAAGUCAACGUCAUUUGAGAAGUUCGAUCCUAAACGUCCUGAGUUCUUUCACUAUGGUUACAAUGAUGAUGAUAAAAAAGACAAGUCAACGUCAUUUGAGAAGUUCGAUCCUAAACGUCCUGAGUUCUUUCACUAUGGUUACAAUGAUGAUGAUAAAAAAGACAAGUCAACGUCAUUUGAGAAGUUCGAUCCUAAACGUCCUGAGUUCCUUCACUAUGGUUACAACGAUGAUGAUAAACAAGACAAGUCAACAUCAUUUGAGAAGUUCGAUCCUAAACGUCCUGAGUUCCUUCACUAUAGUUACAACGACGAUGAUAAAAAAGAUAAGUCAACGUCAUUUGAGAAGUUCGAUCCUAAACGUCCUGAGUUCCUUCACUAUGGUUACAACGAUGAUGAUAACACUGACAAAUUAUCAUCUGUUCAAAAUUUUGAGCGUUGGGUUCCUCUUCCAUCAUUUCAUUAUACUUACAGCGACGAUGAUAACACAGAGAAAUCAUCGUCAUUUGAGAAAUUUGAUCCCAAACAUAAGAACUUGCUUCACUAUCACUACAACGACAACAAAGAAAAAUCAUCACCGCUCGAGCAUAAUAAGCCGUCGUCUCUUAUUGAAGAGAUCCCAGGCGGCAACAAUGAUCAUAAGGAGACCAUGUAAAUUAGGCAUCCAGAGGAGCAUAUGGGUUUUAAUGAAAUUGUAUAAUGUUUUAUGUAUUUAAACGUUAUGUCCUCUAUGUAUGGGAGUGCUUACUUAUUAAAGAAAAAUAAAAAUGGCGUCGCCAUAUAUGAUAAUUGAAUAAAAGUAACACUUCAUUUCCUUCCUCUUUUCUCAAGCAAUUUAGUUUUCUUUAUCUAUUGUCUUUGUUCGUAGCUAAACACACAAGGUUGCCAAUUUAGUCGGAUUAUGAUAAAAUAUAUGUAUUAUUAUAUAUAUUUAACUUUAAAAAUAAUAAUUAACGAUAUGUGUAAAGGAGAACAUCAAAAUCCUAGCAACUUUCUCUCUCUUUUUUUUUUCCAUUGCAAUCGUUUUCUUCUUUCUCCAUCAAAAGCCAAGAAUCAAGCAUGUAGGUUUAUAUAUAUAUAUAUAUAAACCUGUAACUUACAUUAUUUUAAUGACAUUGUAGAUUUAUACAUUGAAUAGUAUUACUGAUUUAUUUAGUAGAAUCAAUAGUGUAAUUUUCCUUUGAAUUCUAGAAUAUAAAUAUAUUUUUCUUUUUCCUAGUAAGUGCAUUCUUGUGCUUAUAAUUUUUUUUAGCAUUAAAUAUUUUGUUUUUUAAAAGCCUAUAAAUCCUGAUCUCAAAACAGGUAAUUUUUCGUGUUAAUAUCAUAUUUUUUAAUGAAAAAUCCUUACCAUUUAUCAAAUCUCAUGUAAUUAUUGCCUUUUGGUUUGUGGUUGUGGUUUAUAUGUAAUUUCUUAAGUACUUUGGAUAUGUUCGGACAAAAUUUGUUGUUUUGAUAGCUAUUUAUUAUUUGAAUAAUAUUUAAUGGUCAGUUGUUUUAGUAGUUUUUCAUAAAAUGAUAAAAGUUAAACGUUACAUGAGUUAACUUUUUAAAUAUUAAAUUAUAUAACGAGAUUGAAUUAUUUGAAAGUACAUGAAAUAUACAUAAUAUAAAUGGUUCAAGUAAAACUUUAAUUACAAGUAAAUUAGAAUCUCAAAAUUUAUAAAUUAAAUAAUAAAAAUAAUUAUUUUAUAUAGAUAUAUAUUUCUUUUAAUUAAGAAACUUGAAAAAAUAUAUUAAGUACAAAUUAUAAAUUCAAAUUUAUAAAUUAGAGGUUAUAAAUUCAUGAUAUAUGAACCUUUAUAUUACAUAGUUGUAAACCAAACAAAUUUUAUUCAAAAGCUAUAUAAGUAUAGAAUAUGUUUAUUUUUGAACAAAGUAAAACAGAAUUUAUAAUGAAAAUAAGAUUGAUCAAAUUUAAAUUUAAAGAUUAAUUAGUUUUAAAAUAAUUAUUUUAUAUAUAUGGACCAGUGUAAUUUAAUAUUUUAAAAAUUAAAUAAAUAUUUUUAUGACCAAAUAUAUAAUGUGGAUUAUUUAAAAAAAUAAAUGAAUUUAAAAUAAUUAAGACUAGCUAAACUACAAAUUAGAAGUCACAAGAUACGAUAUAUAUAAUUUAAUAUAUAUAAUUCGAUAUUAUAAAAGGGGAGAAAUUUAUAAGUCUAGCAUUUAUAUAUAUAUAAUAUAAUUUCAAUUGCAUAGGUACAUAAUAAAUUUUUUAACACUAAGAUAAUAAAAUUUUAUAGUUAUUUAUUCAAAGUUUAAAUAAUUUAUUUUGAUUAAAUAUAUUUGAAAUAUUGGAUAAUUAUUUAUCUGUGAAUUUUUUUUAUGUUUGUGUUGAAAAUAGUUUUUUUUUUUAAUUUACACAAUUAAAUAGUUUUUUAUUUUUAAUAAUAUUAAAUAAAUAUUAAAUAAAAAAUAAAUAUUAAAUAAAUAUUAAAUUUUUAAUAAUAAAUAAUAGUUUUUUUGAUAACCAAUUCUAUAGAUAACAAAUCAUUUGCUAAAAGCUCCGCCGAUCAGACCAUCUCACAUCACCGACAACGCCUCUACAGGGGCUUCAUCCACACUAUCAUCAUCACUUAUAGUUAUCAUCCUUUGAAUCAAUAAUGUAAUUUUCCUUUGAGUUCUAGAAUAUAAAUAUAUUUUUCUUUUUCCCAGUAAGUGCAUUCUUGUGCUUAUAAUUUUUUUUAGCAUUAAAUAUUUAGUUUUUUAAAAGCCUAUAAAUCCUGAUAUCGAAAAAGGUAAUUUUUCGUGUUAAUAUCAUAUUUUUUUAAUGAAAAAUCCUUACCAUCGAUCAAAUCUCAUGUAAUUGUUGUCUUUUGGUUUGUGGUUGUGGUUUAUAUGUAAUUUUUUAAGUACUUUGGAUGUGUUCGUCAAGAUUAGUUGUUUUAGCAGCUGUUAACUGUUUGAAUGACAUUUAAUGUUUAGUUGUUUUAGUAGCUUUUCAUAAAAUAGUAAAAGUUAAACUUUAUAUGAGUUAACUUUUUAUAAAUUGCUGGCUUAAUCUCUAUAAGUUAGUUCAAAAGUUAUAUUACCGAACACUAUAAAAAAAUACGUUUAACAUUUUGACCAAUCAAAAUAUUAAAAGCUACUUAAAAAACUAUUACCGAACACGACCUUUGACUUGUAGUUUUUUUGCAAGUGGUUGCUAAGCCUCAACUUGUUGUUACUGAAUUAAGAAUUUAUGUCAAGAGUUUAUUAGAAAUAUGUAGGACUUAUGAAUAUAAUAUUCCUUUAAAUUUUCACUAUUUUGACUUUUUUUAACCUGUUUCAAAGUUACUAGUUAAAUGAUGAUUGUUUAAAUAAAAUUUUAUUUAAAUAUUAUGAUUAAUAAAAUAAUUAACUGUGCCAAUCAGAUAUAAUUUUAUUAAUUUUUUUCAUUUAUAUGAAGAGUGAGAGAUCUAGAGUUCGAGUCCUCUUGAUCACAAAGUUUUCACCAAUUUAGUGAAUUAAAGAGAACUUUAUUCAUAUUGUGUAGCGCAUGGUAUUAUUUAAGCCAUUUUGGCCUUCUACUGGAUAAAAAAAAUUCACUGUAAGCAGCAAAAACUGUAAAUAAUUGCUUAUACCCAUUUCGACUACUCAUCCAACUACCCAUUUACCAACUAUCAGAAUCACAUGGUUGGUAGCCUAUUAUUGAUAACCAAAUAACUAUAUAUCCAUCUGCCACUGUCAAUCAUCACAAAUAACUAAACCAGAAUGAUUUUUAAAUGAUUAUCCAUGGUGUGUCUCCCUAAAGACAAGAAAAGGAAAAGGAAAACAUUGGACCACACCUAUGUAAGGAUGAAGGAAGGGUGUGAGGAGUGUCUCAAGUUCCUUUAACCAUAAUUUUCUUUUAUAUUUAUCUUCUAAAAUAUUGAAGAUUUUUAAUUUUGCUCCUUAAAUUUCAAGUUUUUUGCCGUACCGGCCCCAUUAUUACACGUGUAAAAUCUAAUUAUACUUUAUAUUUAGAUAAACUAUAGUUUUGGCCUUAAACUUUUCGAGUUGUUCCAAUUUCACUCUAAAUUAACUUUUAUUUUGCUGAAUUUUGCAUAUGUUAUUUAAUUGUAUCCAUAGUUUUAAAAUUGGACUUAAUUGAAAGAGACUAAAGAAAAAAUAUGAGAUCCACAUAUUUUCUGUGGGUUAAGGUAAUCCAAUAUUGUUUAACUAGCGAAAAAUGCAUUACUCUGUAUAAGGAUAAGACUUGCUCACACUCAAUAUGUAUGGGUGGUUCUAUAGACGAAACCAAUAAAAAAGAUUGUUUUUAAAAACUCUUACGCUCUAUCCUUUUUGUUUGUAUGAUAAAAAAUGCUUUCAUUUGAAACAAAUCACUUUUUGUGAUUAGUUUGUAAAUGAGUGAGUUCAUUCACUGACAUUGAGUGCAGGUAAGUCUUUCCUUUGUAUAAAGGGAAGAAAAAAAAGACAAAACAAACUUCAAAAUCAUUUAGAUUAUGUGGUAUGCUUCUAUAUUAAAGUGAAUUAUUAUUCAAAUAUGUGAAAAGUGAGAAGUCUGGAGUUCUAAUCCACUCGAUCAUAAAAACUUUCACUAACUUGGAGAAUUAAGGAAAGAAUUACUCUUAUUGUGUAGCCUAUUAAAUUAUUUUUGGCUCGUCUAAUUACUUCAUUAUGGUUACAAUUUGAAAACUUCGGAGGCAAGACCAAAUCCAUCUAAGUGGCCCUAAUUUCUUUCUUUCCUAUUCAAUUAUAAGAAUGUCUUUCAACUUUUAUAUUCACCCUACAAUAUCUUCUUCCCGCACGAGGAUAAAGAACAAAAGGAUAGUGUGAAAUACGUUGAAUUUUUAGAAUCUAAUGGGGUCUUCCCUAAAAAAAUGAUUUUAGAUUCCAUGGCACGCUGAGUGAAUUAUUAUUGGAAACACGAAGUUGUCAAGAUUCCGUGGCUUUGUUUUGCUGUUUUUGUUUUUUCUAAAUAAAUUAGAAUAUUAAUUUAUUUUUACAUGAAAUAAUAAAAACAAAAUGAUUGAAUAUAAAUUAACAAAUAGAGUAAAAGCCUUAACACCUAUAAAAUAAUAAUUGAGGAAAAUUAAUAAAAUUUAGUAAAAAACCGAUCAUAAUUGAAAUUUUGAUAUUUUAGUUGUGUUAGGCAACAGUUUUUUUGAGUAGCUUUUAACAUUUCGACUGGUUAUAACACUAAAUACUAUUUUGUAUAAUCUGAUUUCUGUAAUGACAUUAGCGCCAUUAAUAAACUAAUUGUUUCUUUUGUUACCUAUGGAUUUUAAUAUUGGAACUUUAUAGUAUGUUGCUACUUUACGAGAACAAUUGGAACAACUGGCUGAAGAGAGAACUCUAGAUGGCUUACCUAGGUAUGCGUGCUUUCUUUUAUAUCUUCUCUUAAAUUUGUUUUGAAUUGUAAUUGAACUUUGAAAAACUUUAAUCAAAUUUUCAUGGAUAACCAAUAUUGGAACUUUUUGUAAAUGUCCUUUUCAAGGAAAAUUGACUUGUUAAUAAUACAUCUAAGUUCUUUGAUUGUGAGCCAGAUUUCUCUUCCCCUUUGCAUUUGAGUUGGCCUUUUCUGUUCGGUAGCCAUUAUCAAUCCAAUAAAUCAAAUGUGGCUGGAGUUGUAUUUUAUGUAACAAUCUCUAAGAUUUAAAUGCAGUGCUACUUUUAACUUCUCUUUGAAUACAUUUCAACAGAGUUUCAAAGGCUAAGGUCAAUGAUUAUUCAGAAAAGAUUGAAGCCAUUGCUUCCAGAUUAGCUGCCCCAUUGGUGCGUUGCAUUGGAUACUUUUAAAUUAUUAAUGUGAUUGUGAACUUUAGCAACACUUCUAAAAUUAGUUGCACUAGCAGAUAUUUGAACAUAGUUCGAAGAGUAAGUUUUCUUCUUUUCAUUUCCUCCCUCAAGGGACUAAAAACUGUUGAAAUGCCAUUGCCAUUAUAAUGUGGUAGAGCUUCAAUAACUGUGAUGUAAACAGACUGAAGAUACGGGGUUAUGUUUCUGUAGAAGAAAACAUAAGAGCAAAUCUUGACCGAUUUCACUUUUGUUGAAAAGACUGUACAUAGGAUUUUGAUAUUACUGUCCACAAAUUAAUUCUUUUUUUUUUUAAUUAUCUCUUGAAUGAACUGUUCUUCUUCCCUCUCAGCUAAUAUGUUGACUUCAUGGAUUGCAAUACAUUCUCCUUGGUUUAAUUGCUUUUGUUGCCUGUUCUACUUCUUCUAACUGUUCCCCCCUUUGGUUACAGUGACUAAGCGUACUGAUUACAACUUAAAAGCAUACUAUAUGUUGUUUGUGUCAUCUAACCAUGCAUGCAAUCUAUGAUGUUGCCUCAAUUUGUUUGUCCUAUUAAUUGUCAGUAUUGGCAGUGGUUGAUGUUGUAACAUCUAACCAUUUUUUAUGCGGCUAAUUCUCAGCCUCAGAUUCGGUAUCUGAAGAGCCUUUUGCUGAGAGUUCAAUGAGCGAAAGUCCUAAAGCAGAUGGAGAAACUCAGUUCCCUUCUUCUCCUGGCUUGAGAAGAAGACUUGUGUAAUGAAUCUCUAGUUGUUAGGAUUUAUGUGAUUCAUGCAAUUUCCCUUUUGGUGUUCAUUUCUUUUUCCUCCUUCUGUUUCUAUAUUUAUUUCAUUAUGAUUUUUGUUGUUCUUUGAACAGGGCAGCCCCAAAUUUUGAUGAUAGAACUCAUGAAAUCACUCAGGUUGAUACAUCAGCCCCUGUCAAACUGGAUGCUGCAGCAAAAACACACAUUGAAAAGCACAGGUACUUUUACUGUUUGAUUGGGGUACACCCAAUCAUGAUGUGAUAAUUUCAAAGAUUACAUAGUAAUCCACUCUUAGAUCUGUAAUCUAAGUUUUUCAAGUAAAAAUGUUGCAUUUAAUUCUACAUAAAACCCAGUGGAGUUCCACAUAAACUCAUACAGCCAUUGUUUGCUAAAGAUGCAUUGACUACAGACCAAGGAUGGUCCUCUUGAGGGCAUUGGGUGAUUAUUCAUGAUUCUAUUUGUAGAGGUGUGCAUCAGUGGAUUCGGUUUGACCGAAUUAACCAGUAAUCAAAAUAGGGGAAACUAAACCAAAUUGAAUUACAUAUAUGAAUCAAACAUUUUGGUUCAGUUUGGUUGGCUCCAUACUGAAUCCUUUUGUUCUUGUGUGUGUGUGUGUGUGUGUGUGUGUUGUUUGGUUUUUUUGGUUAAAAUGAUCAUCUGAAGACCGAAACAUGGUUAACAUGUUCAUCUGAUGACUGAAACAUGGUUAACAUGGUUGGCUCCAUACCAUGGUCAUCUGAUGACCGAACCAAAUAAGAGGCCCAAAUCUUUGCUAAUCGAAUCAAACCACAUAUUUCGGUUUGGUUAGUUGGUUAUUACCAACUAAUGCACACCCUUACUCCCCUAGCUAUUUUGGCAUUUCAAUGGGAUAAUGUGUACACCAUAAGCAAGAUAGUAGUGGAAUUUUGGUGUAACAUGGUGCCCUGCUUGGCAUCAGCCUAGUAUUGUUCAGAGAGCGGGACAGAACAAGUAUUUGAGCAAGAGGGGAACUGGGAUUGGAGUGGAAGGUAAGUCAGACACCAAAUUGAUCUUUAAUAUUUAUUAUGUUUCUUUCCCUACCGAGACGAAAGCCAAAGGUGAGUCUCGUAGGUGGACGUAUUGAACCGAAAAAAGAUCUCACUCCCCUGUCUCAACUCGCUUUCCAGGGAUAAGGUGAAAAUGAAAGGUUCAUUGCAAAUUGGAGUUUAUUGCAACAGGAUUUACAUAAAUAACAAUGCUUCAAUACAUUUAAAGUUUCUUAGUCCUCCUUCUUGACUGUUGCUUAUAGUACUAUAUUUAUAACGGUACAAUGUAGUUUCCUGAAAGUAAUAUGAUUAAUGAGUAAAAUUUUCAUGAUAUAGGCAGAGAUAUUCAAAAACAUAAUUUGUUCUGCAUAUUUUCUUGCUCCAAGUUCCAAAGAUUGAAUCUAGGACUACCUAGUUGCUUCAAAGAUCAUCAACUUCUGAUUAAACUUUUGUAUCCUAUUGCAGAAAGCUUCAAGAAGACCUGACAGAUGAAAUGGUUGGGUUGGCACAACAACUAAAAGAGAGUAGUCUCUUGAUGAGCCAGUCCUUGCAAAAUACUGAAAAGGUAAUGAUUUUUGGAACCAAAUGUAUUACCUUCUGAGGAGAUGUGCAAUUGUAGCUUUGGUGAGUGAUUCUGCAUGUUCUGGGGAGGCAGCAUUAGAGGAUCGCGUAAUCCAUUAUUCUUUGUGUACAAGUUAGCUAAUGAGUAUCUCUAACAUGGUAAUGAUUUAGAAACUACUAGGAUUGUGAAGAAGUGUCAUUUUCCUUCUGCCAUUAAUUGAUUGAUGUGAAGCGUCUGAGUUCUAUCUUAAAAUUGCUCAGAUUUGUAAAUGCUGUGAAGGAGAGGUUGGGAGUGGCAAUCAGAGAGAUAUCUAUAGCAGCAUUUUUCUGAAUUUAAUCUGUGGGAAUUGAUGUUCUAUUGAGGUCUUGUAUUUUGACAUACUAAUCACUCUAUUAAGCGAUGAAAGUUGCUAGGAUAUGAAAUUCUUCUUGAUUAAUGAUGAAUUGAAGAACAACUACUGAACCAUUUCUGUACUCAUGCAGUAAUCGAUAAGCUGCUAAUUGUGUUAAUUGACUUGGAAUGGGCCCUUAAGGAAUUAACAAGUACAGAUCUAUAAAAUUGUAAAAGCCAUAAGAGGACAGGCUUUUAUAAGAAAAAUCUACCCUGUAAUUUUUUUUUCCCUACCAAUGAUUGGAUGGUGGACUCACCGACAAAUGAGGUAAGGGAAAUUGAGAAGCAACUUUCUACUUCAACCUUUUUUCUUCUUGAUAUGGUAAACAACUUGCCUUGAGCUCAUAAUUUGUUUGUAUUUUUCAAUUUUCUUUGAAAUAAUGGCAGUAGCAACUAAAACUUCUAGUUGAUGAGUGUAUGCAUCAUGAAUUUCUACAUUACCACUUAUCAUGUGGAAAUUCAGAUUUCUGUUCAUUUACGUAUUAUAGAUACUUGAAUUUAAUACUUAUCAAAAUGUGAUUGCAAAGAUCAUGUAUAUCGAUCUGGGACUAUUUUUUAAACUGAUGCUCUUCUUGUACAUGUCAGAAAGUUUUUGCAUUCAAUGGCUGUAAAAAAAGAAAUACAUAAAUUUAUUAGAUGAAGCUAAAACAACAUAUAUGCAAGUUUUUAUUUCUAGUCUCAAAACCUAAAUGUUUGUUUUGGUGCAGAUACUCGAUUCUACAGAGAACGCUAUUGAGCAAAGCUUGGCAGGCACUGGCCGUGCCAAUGUCCGAGCCUUGGAGAUAUACUCGAAAAGUUCUAAAACUACAUGCUUCACUUGGCUUCUGAUUUUUCUAAUGACAUGUGUCUUCAUCAUGGUUGUACUCCUAAUUCGCGUCACUUAGAAGUUUCUUCAAGGUAAGCAAGUUUCGACAUGGUAAUGCUGCUGUCUUGCAAUGCGAGUCAAGUGUUUAACCAUUUGUUCAAAAUCAACUGGUUUUUUAUGAAAGUGGUGCCUAAUGAUUUAAUUUUUCUACCAGAAAUCAUUUUGUGACGAUACGGAGAUUAAUGACAAAUAAUAUGUAAUAUUUUCUUAUUCUGUGUUGUUUGAGGUUAUGUUGGGAUUUAUAUUUUAAUCGACGGACAACUGAUUCUGAAAUAAGUUUAACACUCAUAUUAUGAUUGUAUUUUUUUUUCUUUUUUCUUUUUUAAUAUAAUGUCUUUUAUUUUAUUUUGAAUUAAAAUAAAUAACUAGAAAACAUUACUAAACAAAAAUUAAUUAAUUAUUUUUAUUUAUAUACCAUAUUAAAAAAAAUGAUAGAUUCAUCUGAGAAAAUAAAAAGAAUAAUUUAGCUACCAACAACAAGAAUUUACUCUAGGGUGCUUGUUUUUUAAGAGAGGACCCAUAAGGAUAUUAAAGUGUAAAUAAUUAAAAUAUCAAUAAAAGUGGCAAAGUAUUUACUCUAGGGUCCUUGUUUUUUAAGGUAAUCAGUGGUAUUAUUAUUCUUGAAAAAAAAUAAAAAAAUAAAAACCUGGUAUUAUUAAAUGUAUAUUAUUGAAAAGAAAAAUAAAAACUUUUAUCAAUAAUGAGAAAAUUAUCUACCAAUGUAUGAGGAGUGGCACUCACCAACCCCAAUUCCUACCUACUCAUCCAUAGAAUUGGUAUUAUUGUUACUCUUAUCAUGCCCAAUCAUCCAUGCAAAAUUAUUACUUUUACACAUGCAUAAAUGCAAGAUUUUAUAAUUUAAAAAAAUGUUGAUCACUCAAUAUUUUUUUAUUAAUCAAAAGGCUCAAUUGAUCGAAUAACAUAAUGAUUAAGGGAUAAUUUUUCCAUUGACUUAUCGAAUUAUUAAAAACUAGUGCGAUCGGAAAAAUUCAAACUUAACAAUCAUAUUUUUUAUAUUAGUAAAAAGAUCAACCAAAUAAUAUAUGGUUAGCCUAAAGAGGUUUUUUUUUUUUUUUUUUUUUUUGCCCCUUUUAAAGAUAUUGGGCAGAAAAUAAUAAUCAGCGGAGAUUAUAGCAUUAUUUCAUGUAAUUAAUUAAUAUAGUAUAUAAAUAAAUAAAUAAAUAUUAAUUAAAUGUUUAUAAUAAUAUUUACUAGUUAUUUAUUGUUUUUAGAUAAUUAUAUAUGAUAAUGAUAACAUAAAAAUAGUAAUUGGAAAAUAAAAUUAUUAAUGAUUUAUUAUUGAGGUGAAUAUAGCCCUGGGGAAUUGAUUAAAAAAAAAAAGGAGUUGAAAAAGUAGUUAAUGAAGAUUUAACACAUAUAAAUUAAACGUAGAAUAAAUUUGCAUGAAACAAAUAAGCUAAAUAUCCCUCUAAUAAGGAAUUGAUAGCUGAUAAAGCUUACAUAAGUUUCAAUUUACUAUUGAUCUCAUCAACUGAAUUUAGGGCUUUUUCUUAUCAAUGUAUUAUAUUUUGACUAUAUUAAUUUUAUAAAAAAAUAUAUUAAUAAAUUAUUUUUUGAAAUUAAUAUUUUAGGAUAAUCUUAUUUAUAAAAAUUUUAAAUUAAAAUAAAUAAGUAGAAAAUAUUACUACACAAAAAUUAAAUAAUUAUUUUUAUUUAUAAACUAUCAUAAACAACUAUCAUAAACAAUUAAAUAAUUAAAUAAUGAUUACUAUUAUCAACUAUCAUAAACAACUAAAUCAACCAUUUUAUUUUUCAAAUAAUCGAUUUUUAAAUAAAAACAUGAAUAUGUAUAGUUGUGAGAUCUAUUUAGAUUCAAAUGAGUUUAAAAUUUAAAAAAAAAAAUUCAAAUGAUGAAUUAGCCUAAAUUAAAAUUUUUUUAAUGCAUUUAGAGCAAUAAAAAAUUAUAGAGUAUAUAUAUAUAUAUAUAUAUAUAUAUAUAUAUAUACAUGCGCACGCGCAUAAUUUUGAAAAGAGGCAUGACCAAAUCCAUCUAGGUGGCCUUAAUAUUUUUUUUCUAUUCAAUUAUAAGAAUAUCUCUCAAUUUUUAUAUUUAUCCUACACAUAUCUUAUCCUACACGAAAAAAAAAACGAGGAUAAUGUAAGAUAUGAAUUAUAAGAAUGUCACUCAACUUUUAUAUUGACCCAACACAUAUCUUGGUUCAUGUGGAGGGAAAAAAAAGAUAAUAUAAGAUAAGUAAAGAAUUAUUAGAAUCUAAUAGGGUCUUUUCUGAUAUUAAAAUAAAUAAAAAAACUUUGUGGGACGCUCCUAUAUUAAAGUGAAUUAUUAUUGGAAAUUCAAGAGAAAUUUAAUUAUUUGCACUGAUGGCUUUGAUUUUUUUUUUUUUCUUAACAAAAUUAACAAUUCUAUUCCAUGUAAUUCAACAAUACAUAUGAAAAAUACUUGUAAUGUUAAUAAUUGUACAUUAAAAUCAGUUGCACAUUGUUAAGCUUUAACUCAUAUUAUAAUUAUUGAAAUUAUUGAGAGAGAGAAAAUAGGAAAAAAAAGAUUGAUUAAUUUAUAUUAUAAAAUAAAAAUACUAUGAACUUUGCAUAUGGUUGGAAUUGCAUUUUAUUUUAAAUUUUAACUAUAAGGUGCAAUUAAUUAUUUUAGAGUAUAAUAACAUUUUGAAUUUUACGUAUUGUUGCAAUUACACCUUAUUUUUUCCCUAAAUUUUAAUUACAAAGCGUCAGUAAUUUCAAAAUGCUGUUACAUGAUAAUUGUUAAAAGGGUUAAAUAUUUUCGGUUCCCUAAAUUAUGGCCAAAAUAACACCUAGGAUCCUCAACGUUUGAGUAAUUAUCUUGAAUGACCUAAAUAAUGUUGUCGUUAUACUACGAGGCCCUGCCAUCCAAAUUCUUACCUUUUUCCAUUUACAUGGAUUGAAAAGCAAACAUUAAGUGGGGAGUUAAAUGUUUUGGGGUCCCUAAAUUAUGACCAAAUCAACACUUAAGUCCCUCUACGUUCGAGUAAUUAUUCGUUUUUCAGUUCAUAUAAACGCAAAAAAAGUAGAAAUUUAGAUGGAAAUUCCAUUCGACGUGCCUAUCUAAGAUUUUUCCUCUUUGUGCUUUUUCUCAUAUUUGCGGAUGCGCUUUACACCCUUUGUAGCUAAGAAUUUUUCGUAUUUUGUAAUAAACAAGAAAUAACAAAAAAAAAAAAAAAAAAUGAGUUGAGAAAUUUUCUUUUUACAAAAAUGCCCUUAUAUUGCUAAAGGUUUCUUUGACAUUGUGUGGCUAUAUAUAGCAGGCACUUCACCAUUAAAAAACCAAACAUUUCUUCUCCCCUUUACAACUAAAGAGAACCAUGAAGAGCUUCUCUAUUUUCUUUGUUCUUCUCCCUCUUCUCUUGGUGAGUGAACCAUUUCUUCAUACAUUAUUCUACUUAGCACCAACCCUAAAAUUCGAUUGAAAUUAAUGGCAAAGCUAUAUGUUGCAGUCUUUUUUUUUUUUUUUUUUUUUUAUUAAAGAAAUUAAUGCAGAUAUUAUUUUUUAUUAAUUAAAUGGCUAGCUUUGUUCCUAAUAUUAUUUAUACUUUCAGCGGAACUACAUAUAAUUUUUAGUGUGACAUUUUUUUCUCUCUAAUUUUUUCGUCUUAUUUCAAGAACAUGCUUUUUUUGAUUCUUUUAGUAGUUUGGCAAUAUAUAUGGACUCAAGCUCUAAUCUUUGUUCUUUUUUUCUUUAAUAGUUUGGUAUUACUGUGGACGCGAGGAAAGAACUACUAAAAGAUCAACAUCUCAACGAUGAUAAAACUUCUAUCGAGGAAAAUGGGCCAAAAUCUAUUUUAAACCAUCUCAACGAUGAGAAGUUCGAUCCCAAACGUCCCGAGUUGUUUGGUUAUCAUUACGACGACGAUGAUAAAAAAGACAAGGCAUCAUCAUUUGAGAAGUUCGAUUCCAAACGUCCUGAGUUUUUUGGUUAUCAUUACGACGACAAUGAUAAAAAAGACAAGUCAACGUCAUUUGAGAAGUUCGAUCCUAAACGUCCUGAGUUCCUUCACUAUGGUUACAACGAUGAUGAUAACACUGACAAAUUAUCAUCUGUUCAAAAUUUUGAGCGUUGGGUUCCUCUUCCAUCAUUUCAUUAUACUUACAGCGACGAUGAUAACACAGAGAAAUCAUCGUCAUUUGAGAAAUUUGAUCCCAAACAUAAGAACUUGCUUCACUAUCACUACAACGACAACAAAGAAAAAUCAUCACCGCUCGAGCAUAAUAAGCCGUCGUCUCUCUCUGAUGAGAUCUCAGGUGGCAACAAUGAUCAUAAGGAGACCAUGUAAAUUAGGCCUCCAGAGGAGCAUAUGGGUUUUAAUGAAAUUGUAUAAUGUUCUAUGUAUUUAAACGUUAUGUCCUCUAUGUAUGGGAGUGCUUACUUAUUAAAGAAAAAUAAAAAUGGCGUCGCCAUAUAUGAUAAUUGAAUAAAAGUAACACUUCAUUUCCUUCCUCUUUUCUCAAGCAAUUUAGUUUUCUUUAUCUAUUGUCUUUGUUCGUAGCUAAACACACAAGGUUGCCAAUUUAGUCGGAUUAUGAUAAAAUAUAUGUAUUAUUAUUUGAUGAGAAAUUUUUACUUAAUAUUUAAUAUUUAAUUUUAUAUAUAUAUAUAUAUAUAUAUAUAUAUGGUUUGAGAAUAUUAACUUAAAAUUUUGUUUUCAAGAAAAAUAUAUUUAACUUUAAAAUAAUAGUUAACGAUAUAUGUAAAGGAGAACAUCAAAAUCCUAGCAACUUUCUCUCUUUUUUUUUUUUUUUUUUCCAUUGCAAUCGUUUUCUUCUUUCUCCAUCAAAAGCCAAGAAUCAAGCAUGUAGGUUUAUAUAUAUAUAUAUAUAAACCUGUAACUUACAUUAUUUUAAUGACAUUGUAGAUUUAUACAUUGAAUAGUAUUACUGAUUUAUUUAGUAGAAUCAAUAGUGUAAUUUUCCUUUGAAUUCUAGAAUAUAAAUAUAUUUUUCUUUUUCCUAGUAAGUGCAUUCUUGUGCUUAUAAUUUUUUUUAGCAUUAAAUAUUUUGUUUUUUAAAAGCCUAUAAAUCCUGAUAUCGAAAAAGGUAAUUUUUCGUGUUAAUAUCAUAUUUUUUAAUGAAAAAUCCUUAACAUUUAUCAAAUCUCAUGUAAUUAUUGUCUUUUGGUUUGUGGUUGUGGUUUAUAUGUAAUUUCUUACCUACUUUGGAUAUGUUCGGGCAAAAUUUGUUUUUUUGAUAGCUAUUUAUUGUUUGAAUAAUAAUUAAUGGUCAGUUGUUUUAGUAGUUUUUCAUAAAAUGAUAAAAGUUAAACGUUACAUGAGUUAACUUUUUAUAGACUGCUGGUUUAACCUUUAUAAGCUAGUUUAAAAGUUAUAUUAUCGAGCACUAUAAAAAAUACGUUUAGCACCUUAACCAGUCAAAAUAGUAAACACUACUUAAAAAAUUGUUACCUAACACAAUCUUUGUUUGUGGUUUUUUUGCAAGUUGUUGCUAAGCCUCAACUUCUUGUUAUUGAAUUAAGAAUUUAUGUCCAAGAGUUUAUUAGAAACAUGUAGGACAUAAGAAUAUAAUAUUACUUUAAAUUUUCACUAUUUUGAUUUUUUGUAACCUGUUUCAAAGUACUAAUUAUAUAUAUGAUGACUGUUUAAAUAAAAUUUUAUCUAAAUUUCAUGAUUAAUAGAGUAAUUAACUGUUCCAAUCAGGUAUGAUUUUAUUAGUCUUUUUCACUUAUAUGAGGAGUGAGAGAUCUCAAGUUCGAGUCCUCUUGAUCACAGAGUUUUCAUCAAUUUAGCGAGUCAAAGAGAAUUUUACCCAUAUUGUAUAGUGCAUAUUAUUAUUGAAGCCGUUUCAGCCUCCUAACGGAUCAAAAAGAAAUCCACUAUAACUAACAAAAACUGCAAAUAAUUGCUUAUACCCAUUUCAACUACUCAUUCAACUACACAUUUACCAACUAUCAGAAUCUCAUGGUGGGUAGCUUAUUAUUGAUAACCAAAUAACUAUAUAUAUCCAUCUAUCAACUGCCACUGUCAAUCAUCACAAUAACUAAACCAAAAUGAUUUCUAAAUGAUUAUCCGUGGUGUGUCUCCCCAAAUGAUUAUCCAUGGUGUGUCUCCCCGAAGAGAAGAAAAGGAAAAGGCAAACACUGUUUCACACCUAUGAGAGGAUGGAGGAAGGGUGUGAGGAGUGUCUCAAUUUCCCUUAAUCAUAAUUUUCUUUUAUAUUUAUCUUCUAAAAUAUUGAAAAUUUUCAAUUUUGCUCCCCAAAUUUUGAUUUUUUUUUUCGUACUAGCUCCAUCAUUACACAAUGUAAAUUCUAAUUAUACUUUAUAUUUGGAUAGACUAUAUUUUUCACCUUAAAUUUUCAAAUUGUUCCAAUUUCACUCUAAAAUGACUUUUAUUUUCUAUUUGAAUUUUGCAUAUGUUAUUUAAUUAUACCCAUAAUUUUAAAAUUGGACUUAAUUGAAAAAGACUAAAGAAAAAAUGUGAUAUCCAUAUAUUUUCUGUGGGUUAAGGUAAUCCAAUAUUGUUUAACUAGCAAAAAAUACAUUACUUUGUACAAGGAUAAGACUUGCUUAUACCUAAUGCAUGAGUGGUUCCGUACACCAAGCCAAUCAAAAAAGAUUUUUUAAAAAAACUGUUACUAUUCUAUCCUUUUUGUUUGUAUGAUCAAAAAUACAUUCGUUUGAAAUAAAUCACUUUUUUGUGAUUAGUUUGUGAUUAGGUGAGUCUUUCCUUUGUAUAAAGGGAAAAAAAAAAUAAAAAAAAAAAGACAAAACCAACUACAAAAUCAUUCAGGUUCUGUGGUAUGCUCCUAUAUUAAAGUGAAUUAUUAUGAUCAACUAGAUGAGAAGUCUCAAGUUUUAAUCCACUCGAUAAUAAAAACUACUCUGGUUAUAUAGCCCAUUAAAUUAUUUUGGCUCGUCUAAUUAUUUCGUUAUGGUUACAAUUUGAAAACUUCGGAGGCAAGACCAAAUCCAUCUAAGUGGCCCUAAUUUCUUUCUUUCCUAUUCAAUUAUAAGAAUGUCUUUCAACUUUUAUAUUCACCCUACAAUAUCUUCUUCCCGUACGAGGACAAAGAACAUAAGGAUAGUGUGAAAUACGUUGAAUUUUUAGAAUCUAAUGGGGUCUUCCCUAAAAAAAAUGAUUUUAGAUUCCAUGGCACGCUGAGUGAAUUAUUAUUGGAAACAUGAAGUUUUCAAGAUUCCGUGGCUUUGUUUUGCUAUUUUUUUUUAAAUAAAUUGGAAUGUUAAUUUACUUUUACAUGAAAGAAUAAAAACAAAAUGACUGAAUAUAAAUUAACAAAGAGAGUAAAAGCCUUAACACCUAUAAAAUAAUAAUUGAGGAAAAUUAAUAAAAUUUAGUAAAAAACCGAUCAUAAUUGAAAUUUUAAUAUUUUAAUUGUGUUCAGCAACAGUUUUUUGAGUAGUUUUUAAUAUUUUGACUGGUUAUAACGCUAAAUACUUUUUUUAUAGUGUUUAGUACAUGUUAAGGUAGUGUUUUAUAAAAAGUCAACUAAUAUAUCUGUUUAGCUUUUAGCUUUUCAUAAAAGCUACUCGAACAGUUAACAAGUAAAUGCUACUAAAAUAACUAAGAACUAUAAAAACAGCUUUUGGCUUUUUUCAUUUAAAUUAUGCAGUCUACUCAGCUUUCCGGUGACUCAAUAGCCGGAAAAUUGAUCAUAGGGAUUUUUCUGUUACUCUUAUGAUAUUUGAGGGAUUUAAGUGAUAAAUUGAAGUUGAUCAUAGGGAUUUUUCUGUUACUCUUAUGAUAUUCGAGGGAUUUAAGUGAUAAAUUGAAGUUUUAGAUAGGGUAAAGUGAUAAGACUAUAACUUGAAGGACACCUGGUGAAAAUAAGCCUUAAUUUAUGCUAAGACAAAACUACCCUUACUUAAAAAACAAAUACAUUUCGUUUUCGAUUUCUCCAUCUCCACUGCUGCCAUUGUCAUUCCGGCGAUUACCUCUGCCUCCGAUUGUAACAGUCUUCGAUGAUCCCUACUCCACCCGCGAAAUAUCAAUCCUAAGUUCUUUCAAGCUCAAACUAAGAGUUUGAUUCAAUCAAAUGUAAGCUUUCUCUAUCAAUACAUUUCUUUGGCUAGUGAGGAAGUAUGAGAAACUGAACCAAUUAAAUCUAGUUGAGCCCCCAAUUUUUCAAUUUAUUGAGAAAAUAUGUAGUUCGUCUCUAUCAGUUCUUAAUUUGGUGAAUCGAAUGGUCAAUAAUUAGUUAGAGAUUUAAAAUAUACAUCAAAAUUAGGUUUCUAGAUUUUCUUUUUCCUAAUUUAUCAUUAUCAGUUCUUGCGCAAUCAAAUUAUCUCUUCCUGUUAUUUGGGAUUUACUGUCUAUGGUGAUGAAAAGCGAUGGUUAUUGCAUUUAUUUGUUCUACACAUUACAUGAUCACAAGUUACCGGUUUCAAUAGCUGAAAUGAGGCUGCUUGAUUUUGCUUUCCAUUUUUUUUUAACUUUAUUUUUAUUUGUCAAGCUUAAAUUGGUGUAUAUUGGCUUCUAUUUGUUGGUGUAAUGUUCAACAAUUUAAUUAUUUAAUUGUCAAUAUUCUUUUGUUUGUCUUGAAGCAAAUUUAUUAAUUGCAUGUGCUUAUACUAUGGAUUAUAUCAAAUUAUACACAAUAAUUUUCUACUUAUUUUAGAAAAGGACAAAAAUAUCCAGAAGUCGAAGAAAUAUUCCUAUUUGCCAUAAAAAUUGCAGAGUUUUUGUUUAUGAAACUACUCUCACUUGUGUGGGUAAUGUUACAUUGGCAUUUGAUUUAUAGCAUUAAGAUUAACUCUGUUUAUUCAUUUAUUUUUUAUCAUUGCCACAGGAUGUUAUAAUGGGAAUCAGUAAAACAGAGAUAAACUUAAGGAGGUUGCUUGCAGCUGCACCUCGGCAACAAAAUCAAGCAAAACUUAUACAUGUAUGUCCAUUGAUUGCAUUCGGAAAUUAUUUUUUCAUAAUCCCUUUUUUUUUUUUAAUUUUUUGAUGCUUUAUUUUGCGUUGUUUAUGGUUUUGUAUAAUCUGAUUUCUGUAAUGGCAUUAGCGCAUUUAAUAAACUAAUUGUUUCUUUUGUUACCUAUGGAUUUAAUAUUGGAACUUUAUAGUAUGUUGCUACUUUACGAGAACAAUUGGAACAACUGGCUGAAGAGAGAACUCUAGAUGGCUUACCUAGGUAUGCGUGCUUUCUUUUAUAUCUUCUCUUAAAUUUGUUUUGAAUUGUAAUUGAACUUUGAAAAACUUUAAUCAAAUUUUCAUGGAUAACCAAUAUUGGAACUUUUUGUAAAUGUCCUUUUCAAGGAAAAUUGACUUGUUAAUAAUACAUCUAAGUUCUUUGAUUGUGAGCCAGAUUUCUCUUCCCCUUUGCAUUUGAGUUGGCCUUUUCUGUUCGGUAGCCAUUAUCAAUCCAAUAAAUCAAAUGUCGCUGGAGUUGUAUUUAUGUAACAAUCUCUAAGAUUUAAAUGCAGUGCUACUUUAACUUCUCUUUGAAUACAUUUCAACAGAGUUUCAAAGGCUAAGGUCAAUGAUUAUUCAGAAAAGAUUGAAGCCAUUGCUUCCAGAUUAGCUGCCCCAUUGGUGCGUUGCAUUGGAUACUUUUAAAUUAUUAAUGUGAUUGUGAACUUUAGCAACACUUCUAAAAUUAGUUGCACUAGCAGAUAUUUGAACAUAGUUAGAAGAGUAAGUUUUCUUCUUUUCAAUUCCUCCCUCAAGGGACUAAAAACUGUUGAAAUACCAUUGCCAUUAUAAUGUGGUAGAGCUUCAAUAAUUGUGAUGUAAACAGACUGAAGAUACGGGGUUAUGUUUCUGUGGAAGAAAACAUAAGAGCAAAUCUUGACCGAUUUCACUUUUGUUGAAAAGACUGUACAUAGGAUUUUGAUAUUACUGUCCACAAAUUAAUUCUUUUUUUUUUUAAUUAUCUCUUGAAUGAACUGUUCUUCUUCCCUCUCAGCUAAUAUGUUGACUUCAUGGAUUGCAAUACAUUCUCCUUGAUUUAAUUGCUUUUGUUGCCUGUUCUACUUCUUCUAACUGUUCCCCCCUUUGGUUACAGUGACUAAGCGUACUGAUUACAACUUAAAAGCAUACUAUAUGUUGUUUGUGUCAUCUAACCAUGCAUGCAAUUUAUGAUGUUGUCUCAAUUUGUUUGUCUUAUUAAUUGUCAGUAUUGGCAGUGGUUGAUGUUGUAACAUCUAACCACUUUUUAUGCGUCUAAUUCUCAGCGUCAGAUUCGGGUAUCCGAAGAGCCUUUUGCUGAGAGUUCAAUGAGCGAAAGUACUAGAGCAGAUGGAGAAACUCAGUUCCCUUCUUCUCCUGGCUUGAGAAGAAGCUUUGUGUAAUGAAUCUCUAGUUUUUAGGAUUUAUGUGAUUCAUGCAAUUUCCCUUUUGUUGUUCAUUUUCUUUUUCCUCCUUCUGUUUCUAUAUUUGUUUCAUUAUGAUUUUUGUUGUUCUUUGAACAGGGCAGCCCCAAAUUUUGAUGAUAGAACUCAUGAAAUCACUCAGGUUGAUACAUCAGCCCCUGUCAAACUGGAUGCUGCAGCAAAAACACACAUUGAAAAGCACAGGUACUUUUACUGUUUGAUUGGGGUACACCUAAUCAUGAUGUGAUAAUUGCAAAGAUUACAUAGUAAUCAACUCUUAGAUCUGUAAUCUAAGUUUUUCAAGUAAAAAUGUUGCAUUUAAUUCUAUAUAAAACCCAGUGGAGUUCCACAUAAACUCAUACAGCCAUUGUUUGCUAAAGAUGCAUUGACUACAGACCAAGGAUGGUCCUCUUGAGGGCAUUGGGUGAUUAUUCAUGAUUCUAUUUGUAGAGGUGUGCAUCAGUGGAUUCGGUUUGACCGAAUUAACCAGUAAUCAAAAUAGGGGAAACUAAACCAAAUUGAAUUACAUAUAUGAAUCAAACAUUUUGGUUCAGUUUGGUUGGCUCCAUACUGAAUCCUUUUGUUCUUGUGUGUGUGUGUGUUGUUUGGUUUUUUCGGUUAACAUGAUCAUCUGAUGACCGAAACAUGGUUAACAUGGUCAUCUGAUGACUGAAACAUGGUUAACAUGGUUGGCUCCAUACCAUGGUCAUCUGAUGGCCGAACCAAAUAAGAGGCCCAAAUCUUUGCUAAUCGAACCAAACCACAUAUUGUGGUUUGGUUAGUUGGUUAUUACCAACUAAUGCACACCCUUACUCCCCUAGCUAUUUUGGCAUUUCAAUGGCAUGAUGUGUACAGCAUAAGCAAGAUAGUAGUGGAAUUUUGGUGUAACAUGGUGCCCUGCUUGGCAUCAGCCUAGUAUUGUUCAGAGAGAGGGAGAGAACAAGUAUUUGAGCAAGAGGGGAACUCGGAUUGGAGUGGAAGGUAAGGCAGACACCAAAUUGAUCUUUAAUAUUUAUUAUGUUUCUUUCCCUACCGAGACGAAAGCCAAAGGUGAGUCUCGUAGGUGGACGUAUUGAACCGAAAAAAGAUCUCACUCCCCUGUCUCAACUCGCUUUCCAGGGAUAAGGUGAAAAUGAAAGGUUCAUUGCAAAUUGGAGUUUAUUGCAACAGGAUUUACAUAAAUAACAAUGCUUCAAUACAUUUAAAGUUUCUUAGUCCUCCUUCUUGACUGUUGCUUAUAGUACUAUAUUUAUAACGGUACAAUGUAGUUUCCUGAAAGUAAUAUGAAAAUUUUCAUGAUAUAGGCAGAGAUAUUCAAAAACAUAAUUUGUUCUACAUAUUUUCUUGCUCCAAGUUCCAAAGAUUGAAUCUAGGACUACCUAGUUGCUUCAAAGAUCAUCAACUUCUGAUUAAACUUUUGUAUCCUAUUGCAGAAAGCUUCAAGAAGACCUGACAGAUGAAAUGGUUGGGUUGGCACAACAACUAAAAGAGAGUAGUCUCUUGAUGAGCCAGUCCUUGCAAAAUACUGAAAAGGUAAUGAUUUUUGGAACCAAAUGGAUUACCUUCUGAAGAGAUGUGCAAUUGUAGCUUUGGUGAGUGAUUCUGCAUGUUCUGGGGAGGCAGCAUUAGAUGAUCGCGUAAUCCAUUAUUCUUUCUGUACAAGAUUAGCUAAUGAGUAUCUCUAACAUGGUAAUGAUUUAGAAACUACUAGGAUUGUGAAGAAGUGGCAUUUUCCUUUUGCCAUUAAUGGAUUGAUGUGAAGUGUCUGAAUUCUAUCUUAAAAUUGCUCAGAUUUGUAAAUGCUGUGAAGGAGAGGUUGGGAGUGGCAAUCAGAGAGAUAUCUAUGGCAGCAUUUUUCUGAAUUUAAUCCGUGGGAAUUGGUGUUCUAUUGAGGUCUUGUAUUUUGACAUACUAAUUACUCUCUUAAGCGAUGAAAGUUGCUAGGAUAUGAAAUUCUUCUUGACUAGUGAUGAAUUGAAGAACAACUACUGAACCAUUUCUGUACUCAUGCAGUAAUCGAUAAGCUGCUAAUCGUGUUAAUUGACUUGGAAUGGGCCCUUAAGGAAUUAACUAGUACAGAUCUAUAAAAUUGUAAAAGCCAUAAGAGGACAGGCUUUUGUAAGAAAAAUCUACCCUGUAAUUUUUUUUUCCCUACCAAUGAUUGGAUGGUGGACUCACCGACAAAUGAGGUAAGGGAAAUUGAGAAGCAACUUUCUACUUCAACCUUUUUUCUUCUUGAUAUGGUAAACAACUUGCCUUGAGCUCAUAAUUUGUUUGUAUUUUUCAAUUUUCUUUGAAAUAAUGGCAGUAGCAACUAAAACUUCUAGUUGAUGAGUGUAUGCAUCAUGAAUUUUUACAUUACCACUUAUCAUGUGGAAAUUCAGAUUUCUGUUCAUUUACGUGUUAUAGAUACUUGAAUUUAAUACUUUUCAAAAUGUGAUUGCAAAGAUCAUGUAUAUCGAUCUGGGACUAUUUUUUAAACUGAUGCUUUUCUUGUACAUGUCAGAAAGUUUUUGCACUCAAUGGCUGUAAAAAGAGAUACAUAAAUCUAUUAGAUGAAGCUAAAACAACAUAUAUGCAAGUUUUUAUUUCUAGUCUCAAAACCUAAAUGUUUGUUUUGGUGCAGAUACUCGAUUCUACAGAGAACGCUAUUGAGCAAAGCUUGGCAGGCACUGGCCGUGCCAAUGUCCGAGCCUUGGAGAUAUACUCGAAAAGUUCUAAAACUACAUGCUUCACUUGGCUUCUGAUUUUUCUAAUGACAUGUGUCUUCAUCAUGGUUGUACUCCUAAUUCGCGUCACUUAGAAGUUUCUUCAAGGUAAGCAAGUUUCUACAUGGUAAUGCUACUGUCUUGCAAUGCGAGUCUAGUGUUUAACCAUUUGUUCAAAAUCAACUCGUUUUUUAUGAAAGGGGUGCCUAAUGAUUUAAUUUUUUCUACCAGAUAUCAUUUUGUGACGAUACGGAGAUUAAUGACAAAUAAUAUGCAAUAUUUUCUUAUUCGUGUUGUUUGAGGUUGUUUUGGGAUUCAUAUUUUAAUCGACGGACAACUAAUUCUAAAGUAAGUUUAACACUCAUAUUAUGAUUGUAUUUUUUUUUCUUUUUUCUUUUUUAAUAUAAUGUCUUUUACUUGAGAAGAUGAUAGGUUUUUAUAUUUCUUCUGUUUGGGUGAAAAAUGGAUAAAUAAACUAUUAAUACUGAAAUAGAUAGUCUAAUAAUGUGGAUUUGAUGAUAACCGAAUUAUUAAGUAUAAGUUCUAUUAUUUCAUGUGGAACUUUUGGGUUAUAAUUUAUAAAAUCUCUCUGUAUCCAUAUGACACACAUUAUUGGAUAAAUUGAAUAUUUUUCAUAAAAAUUUAGGCAGAAUUUUUCCCCUUUUCUUUUUAAUAAAACAAAUUAUAUUUUGAAAACUCAAGUGUUAUUUAUAGUUCUAUAAUUUGAUGCAGUGAAUAUUUUAACUGCAAAUUGAUAUGGACGACAGCGGUUUCGGUUCCAAAUAACGUGAACAGUUACCGUUUUGGCUGCUGUUCUAAAAUCGACGGUUCCAUACAGUUUUUCAGACCUACCUUCAAAUCAAGAUUUAAUUUUCAAAAUUUCAAAUUCAAAAUCAACAUCAACUUUGCCCCCAUCAAUUUCCAAAACGGCUGUUGUUUAAAAUUCAAAUUGUUAAAGACUUCACACACUAGCCCCUUCCAUUCCUACUAUGAGAAUGGAUAUUCUUGAUUUCAGAAUUACUAAGGAACAGUAGAAAAAUAUCAAAUAUUUAAAAGGGAUAAACAUAAGAUAUUGAGAUUCAAAAUCCAAAAUAUAUGUGACAGAUAUAAAAAAGAAAAGCAAGUGUAUAGUUGUAAUAUAUAUGUCUUUUCAUAUUAGUUAGUAAUUUUUUUAAAAUCCAUUAGUUAAUAGUUUAUUUGCACAUUAACACAUGAUCUAGGGUUAAAUUCACGUAUGGUUUGAUAAUAAAUUUAAAUUUAAAUUUAAAUUUCCCUCUUUGAAUAUUUAAAAAGAGUUGAAUUUUUUAACAAAGGAAUGAUUAAUUAAUAAAUUUAAUUUGUUUUCAAAAAGAAAAGUUGAUAAGGAAAAUAACAUGAUUAGAUUGUUUUAGAAAAUUUUUUAUUUAAAUUAACUGUAAAGUAUGUUUUUAUUAAUUUAAAAAUACCUUUUAUUCUAUAUCAAACAUAAUAUAUAAAUUUAUUGUUAAAUUUUAUAAUUUUAUAGUCCCUACAUUCUACAAAAAUAGAUUUAUUUAUAUUUCUACACACUUUAAGAAAAAAAGCAAUAAUAUUAUUGACAUAACAAAUUUUAUUUGUAUUAUUUUAAUAUAUGUCAAUAUUAAUAUUAGAUGUGACUUUCAAUAAUUUUAUAAAUUAAAAAAGCAAAAAUGGAAAAUAAAACUUUUUUGGUGCAUCAAACAAACAAUCUCUUAAUAAUAAUUCAAAUAAUAUGGGACUGAAUUUAUUUACAUAGAUUCUCAGAUUAUAUAUUUUGUUUUAAAGUUUAUUUCAAUAGAUAACUCGAGUUUAAUUUAGUUAUUUCUGAUUCUAAAACACUCAUAGAAUCUAAACUUUAUAUUGUUGUGGAGUGAAUUAAGAGUCAAGAUAAUGUAAGUACCCAUUGCCCUGUUAGAGCUUCUUACCGUCAUGCUCGUAUCCAAAUUUAUCCAUUAAUGUUUAUGAGGUUAUUUUUCAUCCAGCUAAUGAAAUCUCAUUAUUCUCUUUUAGAAAAAAUAAUAAUAGAAAAAAUAAUAAUUUAAAUAAUAAUAAAAGAACAAAAUAAUUUCAGAAGGCCAUCUAUAGUACUCUUUGGCCUUUGAUGCCACCGAGAUGCUCACAGCGCUGUCAUUCCAGAAGUUUCUCUUCAUUUCAUUAUUGUUUUUUAAAAUAAAAGCCCAAUUUCCUUUUUAUUUUUUUUAAGUUAUAAUAGACAAAUUACAGGUCAGUAACAGCUUUCCACGACGAAGCAGACUACAAACUAGAAAAGACUGACCUUCUCAGGAAACAAAAAAUUAAACAACACAACUCAUCUCGUCUCGUCUCGUCUGGUCUAUUCUCGUCUCCUAUUCCCAGUAGAAUACACCUUAGUACCUGCAAAACUUAAACCUAAAUCACUUUCUUUUUUCCCUUUCUAUUGUUAUUCAAUUUCCAAUAUUCAAACCCUAACAGAUCGGUUCUUCAUCGUCCGUACUCCGAAUUAAUCAAUCAUGCCUUCCCGUCGAAGAACUCUCUUGAAGGUCAUAAUCCUCGGCGAUAGCGGGUCAGUCACCUGUACUUACAUGGUUAAUUCACCGCUUAUUUUGCAAAGUUCUAGGGUUUUGUUUUUAGGUUAAGCUGAUCUUUCGAGAUCUUAUUGCUUUUGUUACUUGCUCAAGUUCAACUAUGUCAAUUAUGAUCUGAUUGAGGAGUUUUUGCUUAGGUAAUUGAAUUGUUGAUUAGGAGUUGGUGUAUCUAUUUUGGUUUUAGGGUAAAAUUGAGUGUAUAAUUUUGUUUAUGUUAAUUGAAAAUAUACAUUUGAAGUGAUUAAGGAUGUUGUUGUCGAUAAAUUGUUGUUAAUGGUGGUUUUUGGGAUUGUUUGUUGAUGUUUAAGAUAAUGAAUUUGCAUUUGUUUUUUAUUUACAGGGUCGGGAAGACCUCUUUGAUGAAUCAGUAUCCUUCUGUUAUUGGCUUUUUGAUUAGUGAUUUCUAUUCCUUCUCUUGAAGGGGAAAUAAAUGCAUUCUCGUAAAUCUAGGAAGUGGUGCCUUUUCUACUUUUGUUUUCUUGACUUAAUUGCUUUUAGAUAUGUGAAUAAGAAGUUUAGCAAUCAAUAUAAGGCAACAAUCGGAGCUGAUUUCUUGACUAAGGAAGUGCAGUUUGAAGAUAGGCUCUUCACUUUACAGGUUUGUAGUAGUACAUGGCCUAUUAUAUGAAAUCGUGAUGUAACUUAAAGUUUGCUUAUGCACUACCGUGCAUUCACUUUCUGUGGUUUCUUCCUUUUGGGUUGGUUUGGAGUAUAUAUUUUAGGAAUAAGGUAAUGUCUUUUAGCUGUUGACUUUCCAUUUUUCAUCUUUUUUUUUUCUAUAUAAUAUUUCUUAUGCAAUCGGUAUAGUGAGGGUGGGAGAGGGCAGGGCUAAAGCUCUAGUCUUUGCUUGCAGUCCACUACUGAUAUGUGUGAAUCGUCUUUCCUUGUUGCUGCUGAGUCAUAGAGGUAAUUGUUUGGACUAGAUGACAAUAUGCAGAAAUAAAUGAAGGUUCAGAAUGAAAAAGCUCAGUUGGUAGCCUAACUUACCUAUAUUUCCUUUUCGCCCAGGAGCAAUAAUGGUCAUGGCUUCUAUCUGGGGGCAGGGGGAUUUUGGAUUAGUGGAAAUCCAGUUGGUACUGACAAGCGACAACACUUAUUGCAGAUAGUUGGGUUGGGAAGGCCAUAAACUUUAGGGUUGCUAAAAGUAGAACUGUCUGGGACAAUCUUCAGGGCCAUAUUAUAAUUAAUUACAAUUAGCGCCACAAAAUCAGGGCUGUGUUUUAGGCUUGUGGUAAGUUGCAAAUUUGAGGUUUCCUUCCAUAAUGAAUCUAGGAAUGAAAUCCUCUAUGUGGUGACUGCGCACUAGAGGUCGGUCAAGAGGUAGUAGUAUUACCAUUGGUACUCUCCUAGUCUGCUGAUUGAUGGUUGCGUUCCCUUAUCAUUUGUGGGACAUCUUGUUCUAAGGUGGUCACUGCAUGAGUUUUGUAGGCUAAGGCAUUGUGUUCUGCUUGUCCCAAUUGCUCAACUAUCAUAUUUUUGGCACAAAUUAAUUCUGUGCUUUAUUGCUGGUAAUAUGUAUUUUUGUGGCUUGUUGAAUUCCUGAUUGAUUUUAUUAGUUAAUCUGCUAGUGUUUUACUUGUAUAUUUUGUAUUCUGUUGUUUUGGCAGAUCUGGGAUACUGCUGGCCAGGAAAGAUUCCAAAGUCUUGGCGUUGCUUUCUAUCGUGGUGCUGAUUGUUGUGUUCUUGUAUAUGAUGUUAAUUCAAUGAAAUCAUUUGACAAUCUCAAUAAUUGGAGAGAAGAAUUCCUCAUACAGGUAUUAUUUGAUUUAUCUGCAAAUUUACAGGGCAUUAUUGAACAGAAUACAUGAUUUUCUUAGUUGUUUUCUUCAUAAUUUUAUGCCUCUGCAAAUUUAUCUGUCUGUAGGCAAGCCCUUCUGAUCCAGAGAAUUUCCCAUUUGUUGUUCUUGGAAACAAGAUUGAUGUGGAUGGUGGAAAUAGUAGAGUGGUAUGCAUCUUCUUGAAUUUGUUGCGCUGUACACUUUUACAUGUGUUUCCAAUGUGCUUGUGCAUUUUGUUUAUGUGUUGAAAUCAAUACUUUUGCUUGUUAAUUUCAGGUUUCAGAAAAAAAGGCAAGAGCGUGGUGUGCCUCUAAAGGGAAUAUACCAUACUUUGAGACUUCAGCCAAAGAAGGCAUCAACGUUGAAGAAGCUUUCCAAUGCAUUGCAAAGAAUGCCCUGAAGAGUGGGGAAGAGGAGGAGAUGUAAGUUGCCAAACUGACCAUUUUUAUCUGCAUGGACUUAUUCUAUACUAUCUCAUGGGGAUUGCAAAUCAACAAGUCUUGCUAAUUUUCUGGCCUGAUAAAAUUUGAAUUACAUGUUAAAUUAAAAUACCUUUUAAGUAAUGUCAUACUGUUGCCCAAUAGUGUAAUGAUUUAAGAUUUGGAUUGGCUAGUGAGAAUAUUUGAAAAUUGAUUCAAUACGCAAGCAGACAAUGUGGCCAAUGUGGUUGACAUGCAAAUGCCGCCAAUAGAAUUGUUAUUUAUAUCUAAAUAACAUGCAUCCGAUUUAUGUUUGAAUAUUUUUAAAAUGACACUGACAUCACUUUUUCUGUUGUCCUUCUGGUGGCAAUUUUAUGGUGUGAAGAUACUUGCCAGAUACCAUUGAUGUUGGUAACAGCAGUCAGCCUAGGUCAACUGGAUGUGAGUGCUAAAACUGUGGCUUUUGAUUCUUGAGAUUCAAUAACCUAUCAAGUCUUAUAAAUGGUUUGGCCUCUUUCUAGCGAUUCUUAUUCGUAUGUAUGAGUUUAUACUGUACAUUAGCGUUUGUGGGAAACAAAUUGGUCAAUUGGUGCUGGUUUUGGUGCCUUUCUGUAAAACUGCUGUGAUUUGUUCAGGUUGUGGUUGAUUUGUUCUAGGCACUAUCCUGUUACUGUUAUUUAGUCUUGUUACUAUCACAAAAGUCAUUUCUUUUUUGUUUAAUGAUCAAUGUAUUUGAUUUGAGUUCCAUAAAUAGAAACAUUACAUAUCAAUGCUUUUUAGUUUGUUGAAAACAAUUAAAGUAAAUGCUUAAAGAUGUUUCAAAAGUUUUCUUUUUAAGGUGAUUUUAUUCUCCCCAAUAAUGGGAUAUACAAGGAAAACAUACUAAAAAGAUGCUCCAUCUAUAAGAUUUUUAAACCAUGGUAAUUAAAGAAGUAUUUAAUUUUAUUAAUUACUUCUUAAUUUAGGAUAUGUAGAAAUUUUGAUUUUAUAUAUUGCUGUUUUAGAAAUCACUUCUAAGGUUUGAGGAGAAUAGUGAAAGACGAAUUGAGUUAGGUUUGAUCAGCCAAAAGUGAAAUUGAAAAAAGAAACGAAGCUUUCAUUUUCAUGAAUAACCCCAUGCUUAUUGACCACAAAACAAAAGCCAUCCAAUAGAAAUAGGAACCACUCGUUCGGUUCAGUUUAAUUGAAUUAAAUUAGUGUAAAUCAGAAAUCAAACAAUUACAUCUUGAAUUCAUUCGAUUUGAUUUUUAAUUAAUUUUGAAUCAAUUUGAAUUUAUUUUUUUACAAAAUCAAAAGAUGAGCUUAAUCGAAACUUAUUCUACGCCUAGACACAAGAGGUUCUACAAGUGCAUGAACUCUCUCUCUCUCUCUCUUCCCCCUUGUUUAGGUAACUAUUAUCUUAUUCGAGGGUAUUGAAGCACCUAAUAUAAUUCGAAAUUACAUAAAAAAAAAUUUAUAUGUAUAUAAUAUUGAUUAAUUUUCUUAAAGCAACCCUAUCGCACUUUACAUUAUAUGAGACAUGCAAUUACAAAAUUUUAAAACCAAACGCCCAAGUUUUGAGUUGAAACUUGGAAUUUCGUAAAUUUAUUUAACAUUCAAUGUGGAAUAAUCAAUUCAAGUCUUCAAUUUAGGCCAAUAUGGAAGAAGAAAACCAUCAAUUGAAACUUUAUUUUUGUCUUAAAAAUAAAAUAAAGAUACUAUAUUAUUACUUUUUGUACAUUAUGCCAUUAAUCAACUAGUUAUUACAUAAAUUAAUGAUGAAGAACAAAAUGAUAACUAAAGAAAAUACUAUAUAUAAUUUUCUACCUAGCUAUAUAUACUUGUAAUAAUAAUCAAUUAAACCUUGAAUAUAAUUGUAAUAAUAUGAUCACAUCACCACCCAAUAGAAAAUAUUGUGUUUAUGUGCAAAACAGAAUUUUGUACCUAUUGGACCUAAAACUGAAUAGUUUUAGAAGGAGAAUAAUGACAAAACAUUCACAAGCUAAAAAUGGGUAAAAUUUGCUGAACAAAACAAACUAACUACUUAAAAUUCAAAAAUAGAUUAAAGUGACUAAGAGGCUAAGAGCUAGCCUAAGCAACUAAUUAACAAACAAUGUGUCAUCUAGUGAGAUUUACACUAAGUCUUAGGCUGCGUGGUUACAAAGGGUUCAACUUAAAAGUAGGAAAAACAGAAAACCUCACUGUCAAAGACAAGAAUUUCCUCCUUUCUAGGAGGGGUUUCUGUGAGGUGUACACGGUUUUCCCUUUCUUCUUGUAACUCUAUUACCAUGCAAGACCAUUUCUUUCCACAUUUUGAGAAUCCUUCCACCCUUCUCCCAUAGGUACUCUCUCUCUCUCUCUCUCUCUCUCUCACACACACACACACACACACACACACUCACACACAAGAACAAGAACACAUCUAUUAGUAAAAAUAUUUUAUGAGCUUAGAAGUAGUCAUGACCAUCAAAAUUUAACUUUUCAUUGGUUAUUGAUCUUAUUGUUCUUAGAUUGUUUAAUUUUAUGCAUGUUAUUAAUCCUUUAGUAGUUCUGAGUCUUUAAGAUUAUUCAUAUGUUGUUCUUCAAUUAGUAUUCAUUUUCUUUAAUGAAUAUUGUUUUAUUUUGCUAAAGCAUAUAUAUAUAUAUAUAUGUUUCUUAUUCUUAGGGAUUACAAGGGAGAUCAUUUGGAGGAGUGGUGGGGGUAGACCGUUGCCUUUGUAAGAAUAAUAUAUAGGUCGGAAGUUCUUCUUAUGGCUUCUGCCCCGUCACCGGACUCCUCACCUUCUCCUCCUCCUCCUCCUUCAUCAUCAGCAAAUUCGCCAUCUCCAUCAUCUUCACCUUCCCCACCUCCUCCACUAUCCUCACCACCACCACCACCAAAUAAGAAGUCAUCUCCACCCCCACCUUCAAAUAAAGCGCCACCCCCGCCAAAUAACUCAAAUGCUUCACCACCACCACCUCCUUCCUCUUCUAAGACAAAUACACCACCACCUCCUUCCUCUUCUAACACAAAUACACCACCACCGCCGCCAAAUAACAGUGACAAUAAUGAUAAAUUUUCACCCCCACCCUCGCCUCCAUCAUCAUCCAAAUCCAGUCGUCCACCACUACCACCACCAUUAGCGUCCGGAUCAACUGAUAAAUCCUCUAGUACCAUUGUACCCAUUGUAAUUGGAGUUGUGGUCGGGGUGGCAGCCAUGCUUCUACUUGCAUCACUUGUUUACCUGUGUACAAGCAAAAAGAAAAAGAAGAAGAGAAUAGAGUAUGAUUACUACAGUAGCGACCCAUCUCCUGCACUCAAUGGUACCACCUUCAAAACUUCAUCUUUCUGAUAAAUAACAAUGUAAAGAAGAGUUAUUUUCUUCCAUUAUAUAUGUGUGUAUAUAUAAAUUAUUACACUCCAACUUAGAUUCAAGUUUACGAUUUAACAGUUUAUAGCUCUAUAGAUUCAUAUGUUGAUUUCAUUUUUAAAUGAAAAAUGGUUAUAUAUGAAACGCACAUGCAGGUGGUAAUAGUUAUUAUCCAACUACUCAACGGCCAACUAAUAAUUGGCAGAUGGGAAACCAAUAUAACAAUGAUCAAAUGGGCAACUUACCUCCACCUCCUGGUGCUCAUGGGUGGCCAUCACCAUCACCACCACCUCCACCAGCACAAUCACCAGGUCCGCAACAACCUCUCCCUGGUACAAAUGCAUCAACUGGUAGUGACAAGAGCUCAAAUUUCUCAGGUCCACAUGGUCCAGCCUUGCCUCCUCCGCACCCAUUGGUGGCUCUGGGGUUCACUCACAGCUGUUUCAGCUACGAGGAGCUAGCAGCAGCGACUGACGGUUUCUCUAAAGCUAACCUACUAGGCCAAGGCGGGUUCGGGUACGUGCAUAAAGGAGUUUUGGCUAAUGGUAAAGAAAUUGCAGUGAAAAGUCUUAAAGUUGGCAGCGGACAAGGAGAUCGUGAAUUUCAAGCCGAAGUGGAGAUUAUUAGCCGUGUCCACCAUCGCCAUCUUGUGUCGCUUGUUGGAUAUUGUAUGGCAGGUGGCCAACGGUUGCUGGUUUAUGAGUUUUUACCCAAUUCCACCCUUGAACAUCACCUCUAUGGUAAGAAACCUCAAAUCAUUAGAGUAUUCUCCCAAGCAUUUCCCUCCAUUAUUAACCGAAACACAAGUUCCAUACUGAAAAAUGCACUUUGCCGUUGCGCGCAAAGAAGAAUUACACCUCCGGUCAUCAAUGCAUGUACCAAACAUUUUCAUUUGGUCAUUUUUUUCUUUCUCGAAAUUUUGCAGGUAAGGGUCAGCCUACCAUGGAUUGGUCCACUAGGCUCAAAAUUGCCCUAGGAUCAGCCAAAGGACUUGCUUACUUGCAUGAAGAUUGUAAGUCAUCAAUAAUUAUUACAUUAUUAAAGCUUCAACACUGAGAAUAAAAAUUAAACCUCUUGAAUGGCAAAACUUUCAUAAUUAACUUCAACAAAAAAAAAUAAUAAUAAUAAUAAAAAAGAUAAAUGUUUUCAUAUUUUUUUUUAAUUGUUCGAUUUGGCUCAAUUUUGAAUUAUGAUAAGUUUUGAUGAUUUCUGUUUGAUUUAAUUUUAAUAAUAAAAGUUAAAAUAACUAAAUAGAACUGAACUAUAUAUUUAUAUAGAAAUAUAAACAUAUUAUUUUAACAGACUUUGAAAUUUUGGUUAUUUUGAUUUUAUUUUUUAGUUAUUUCUAGAAUUUUAUUUUUUAUUUUUUUACAAAAAUUAGGUUAGUUUGAUUUUUUUUUUUUUUUUUUUUUUAAAGAACUUCCUUCUUAAUUUUAUAAAAUUCAAACUGAACGGACCGAAUGUUUACCUCUACUCUCCCAUUAUAACAUGUUUGAUACAGGUCAUCCUCGCAUUAUCCAUCGAGACAUUAAAGCUGCAAAUAUUUUGCUUGAUUUCAAUUUUGAAGCGAAGGUACGUUUAUCAUCUGCAAUAUUAUAUAUAAAAUUUAUUAAUUUUCCUCCAUUUUGGAUUAAUUUAGAUUGAAUUAGUUCGUCUAAUAAUUAUUUCUGUGUUGAAUCAACACUAAUUAUCAGGUGGCAGAUUUUGGGUUGGCCAAGCUAAAUUCAGACAAUUUUACCCAUGUCUCAACUCGUGUCAUGGGAACUUUUGGGUUUGGAUCUUUUACUUAAUUAAUUUUCGAUUUUUCCACUAAUUAAUAUCUCGAAAAAAUGUUAAUUUUAUAUCCAGUAAACGCAAACAUGUCUUACUGCUUGAGCAAUGGUUAAUUAGUUUCAUUAUAAUUAGAUAUUCACAAGCAAUAUAGAUUAAUCUGUAAUUGCAAUACGAAACUUAGAUGAAAGUUUAAUGGGAUUAAUUAUUAUAAUUAAAUAACUAAUGAUGAUUUUUUCCAUUGCAGGUACUUGGCUCCUGAGUAUGCAUCUAGUGGCAAGCUUACUGAGAAAUCUGACGUUUUCUCCUUUGGUGUAAUGUUAUUGGAACUCAUAUCUGGACGCCGUCCUGUGGAUAUAAAUUCAGAGAUGGAUGAGAGUCUUGUUGACUGGGUGACCAUUUCUCUACCCUUAACUUCGACUAAAAUUUAUUUUAAAACGAUGAAUUUCCAAUUCUCUUAAUCAUAAAAAUUAUAUGAAAGUAAACAAAUUAAAUUUUCUAACAGCAUUUUCCAACAUUUUUUGUAAAAACCAAUUCAAUCUAAAAGCAAAACAAACUAAAUAUGUAGAUUAUCUUGGAAGGUUAAAAUAGGAUGAUAAGAAUCUUUUAUGUUUUAAUUAGAAAUUUUGAGUUCGAGUUUUGAAUAUGGAGUUUUUUUUUUUUUUUUGAAAGAGAUAUGAAAUCUUUUUAAUAUUCGGGAAUAAGCAUUUUGCCCUGCUUUAUGGCCAAUCCGAUGUGAAUCUGGAUUAGUCGAGCUAAUAGGCACACUGGAUGAUUGAAACCAAACUAAAUAUGCGGAAGAAUAUCUUCAAAUGUUACUUGUUUUAUGCAUCCACAGGCGAGACCAUUAUGUGCCAGUACAGUGGAAAGUGGAAAUUUUCAAGCAAUGGCAGAUCCUCGUCUGGAUGGCAACUAUGAUUCAGCUGAAAUGGCACGCAUGGUUGCUUGUGCUGGUGCGGCCAUUAGACAUUCAGCCAGAAGACGACCAAAAAUGAGCCAGGUAAUUGCAAACAAACUCUUAAUCACAUAUUUAAUCAAUUACUAUUAUCACUAUUUUUUUUUAAAUAGAUUAGAAUAUUACUUGUUUAUCAACCAUCCCAGAGUCUCCAAAUAUGAAAUGUUUCGUGUAUAUUUAUGCUAAUUACAAAGAAUUUUAUCUACGAAGCAGAUUGUUCGAGCUCUAGAAGGCGAUGUCUCGCUAGAUCACUUGAAUGAAGGGGUCAAAACUGAUCAACGAGGGCUCGAUUCUACUAGUUAUAGUUCAGAGUAUGACAGUGCCUCAUAUAGUGCAGACAUUAAGAAGUUUAGGAAGAUGAUAUUAAUGGACAGUAGCCAAGAAUAUGCAAGCAGUGAUUAUGGUCACACAAGUGAGUAUGGACUCAACCCUUCCUCUUCAAGCAGCGAAGGUGAGACAGGUAGCGGAAAGAACAGUCCUCGAUGAAGGAAAAAUUAUCGGAUUCUCAAAUUUUAAGCAAAGAAAUUAUCGCCAUUGAUUGGUAUUUGGAUGAAUAGACUAAUUUUCAAGAACUGGGUUAUUACUAUUAAAAUGCGAGUUUAUUUCUUCUAGCAAAUGGGAAGAGUGAGAGUGAUAAUUUUAUCAUGAAACUGCAACUAUUUGUUUAGGUUUAGCCUUCAUCAAAUGGAUGAUGGUGAAGGCACAAUUACAUUGUCCUUGUCUUUGUAAUCUUGCAUUCGUCAUUAAUGGAGUUCUUGUAGAAUUUGUCGAUUUGAGUAAAUUUCUGUUGGAAAAUUGAUGCUUAUUAUUAUUAUUGUUUUAACACUAAGCAGUGGUAGAAGCUCAAAUUAACAACCAACUUGUCAAGCUCACACAGCUAUCUAAUAGAUUUAAGACUCUCGCUCUCGCGGUAAUUUAUAAAACCUCUUGAUCUGUUGAUGGUUAUUUAUAUAUAAACAAAAUAGAUAAACAUAACUUAGUUAAGAAUUAUAACUCUAUCAAAAAUAUAUAUAUAUAAUCGUGUUUGAAUAUCAACUUGUGAAUUUCAUUGAAUUUUUAAAAUUCAUUUGUGAAAUUCGUAUUUUUAUAUUUAGUAUUAAAAUUGUUCAUUUCAUUUAUGAUUUUUUCAAAAAAGUUUGAAUUUGUUAAGUUUAACAUAAUACAACAUCACUCUAUUGUGUUUGAAAUAUAUAUUCGAGAAUUUAGCCAAUUUAAAAAUAAUUAAAGUCCUUUUAAGAUUUAAUUUGGUAUUUUAAUGAAUUAAAAUAAAAGUAAUAGAAAUUAAUCAAAUUACCAUAGUUGAACUUUUAAAGUGCAUAAAACAGCUAUUUUCAUGGAAUAGUUAUUUCUAUAAAAUAGUUAUUCCAUAGAACAACAAAUUUCAGCGUUGAGUUUAGGAUGAACUUUUAAAUAUAUAAAUAAUUUAUUGCUUAUUAAUAAAAAAAAUUAACUAUUGUCAGAAAUUUAAGAAAAUAUUUUCUUUAAAAAAUAAGUAUUUUAUUAUAAUGUUAUUUCAUAUUGCGAAUUCAAUGCUAUUACUGUGUUCAAAUAUCGAACAAAGAAUUCGUAUAUGAAUAUAUGAUAUGCAAAUAUCUUUGAUACCAAAUUUAAAUGUGAAAAAUGUAAAAAUUUUGAAAAAUACGACACCUAAUUUGUAAAUUCCUGCACAAAUUAAAAUCGAUGAGUCUGGCCAAUAAAAAUUCAAAAUCGCAAAUGUUUUAUUUUCUGUAGUACCAAAAUAAUUAAUUAAUAUUAGAUUUGGAUACAUUAAAACAUAUCCUGCCCAAACUUUUGUCUAACAAGUUAAGAAACCAUGAUUUGGGGCAGUUUAGGAAUUAAAUUGACAGAACAUGGUGACGUGGCCUUUACUGAUUAGUCACACUCCAUCCUCCACCUUCGUAGCAUCAUUUUAUGCAUUGAGGUCACAAAUGGUAACGAGCAGAAAAUAUUAGAUCCCUCGUCUUCGAAAUUUCACUGCCAGAGAGAAACACAGAGAGAGGGAAAGGGUCUCUAUAAGUACGACAAUCUACCCUGCAGAUCUUGAAGAUUCGUAGCUUUUAGCAAUGGCUCAGCCUCUCAUAAAGAAAGACGACGACCGCGACGACGAAGGUAUUGAAUCCGUUUUCAUCUUCUUCACUUACGACACGAUCUCAUUUUCUACUCGAUUUCAUACUUCGAUUUCAAUUUCCCUAUUUAAUUUAGGGCUUAAUUGCAGAAUCCUAAGUUACCGGCAUUAGAUCAAUUGUUAGCUUCUAGAUCUGUGCCAUUCUCUUUUUAUAAACAUGUUUGCUUGUUUGUUUCAUUACAGUAGGUCCAAAUUUUAAGAGCUUUUAAGCUGAUUUGGUGUAGCUUUAGUUGAUCUGAUCUCUAUAACAAAGAUUGAAGUUGGUAUAUGCUUUCCUAAUCCCUAAAUCCCAAUGUGCAUUGGUAAUUCUGUGCAUCUCUGCUAGAAAAAGUUGAUCUAAUGGGACUUGUAAUUCUUAGUACAUAAUACAUAUGGCGCUCUAGUUGUUGUUUUUAUCGAUCUUAAUUGAACAAGUCCUUAUUGGUUAGCCAGUGGUAUUCAUUGUUAAGCCCUCAUUUUAAGGGAUCUGAUAGAGCUCUGUAUUUGCCAUCUUGCUGUAAAUCUCAAUAGAUUUAGUGCUCUUUCUAGAUUUAUCUAAUGUGGAUUUUCUGGUGACAUGGAUUACCUAGAUUAGUUAUUGAUGCACUAAAAAUUAUAGUGUAUUUUCAAUUAUGAUUAUAGUAUACAAGGAAGGACCAAUAACAUGUAUGAUUCUGUGAUAUUUAUUUUUGUCAGCGGAGUUCUCUCCAUUUCUUGGUAUUGAGAAGGGUGCAGUUCUUCAGGAAGCCAGGGUUUUCAAUGACCCUCAGCUUGAUCCAAGAAAAUGCUCUCAGGUUUUUGCUUUAUACUGCCUCAUUAUCUAUUUACAAUACAUAUGACCUGCUUGUGCUUAUUCAGAGAAAAAGAGGUAGGAGGGAAAAUAUGGGACCCAUUUGCUUAUGAAUUUUGGUAUGUUAUUUUUCUUUCAGGUCAUUACAAAGCUUCUAUAUCUUCUGAACCAAGGAGAAACAUUCACUAAGGUCAAGUAUUUCUGCUGGAGAGCUUACAUCUUGACUGUCUCAUGAGCAACGAGAGACAUGCUCUUUUUUUUUUUUUUGUAUAUAUUUGGAACAAAAUGAAACCUUGUCUGAAAUACUUUUUUUUGCAUUAUUCUUAUAGGUUGAAGCCACAGAAGUUUUCUUUGCUGUGACAAAGCUUUUUCAGUCCAGGGAUAUAGGUUUAAGGAGAAUGGUCUAUUUGAUGAUAAAGGAAUUAUCCCCAUCAGCAGAUGAGGUCAUAUUGCUAUGCUUUUAUUGGCAUCUCCUAUUUAUAAUGUUGUUAUUACUUAUUCUUUAGUUCAGAUGUAGAUACUGACUAGCUACAUUCUUCCCUACAAAAGGUUAUAAUUGUGACAAGCUCCCUUAUGAAGGACAUGAAUAGCAAGAGUGAUAUGUACCGUGCAAAUGCUAUUCGUGUGCUUUGUCGGAUAACAGAUGGAACCCUGCUCACCCAAAUUGAGCGAUACUUGAAACAAGCAAUUGUUGACAAGAAUCCAGUGGUUGCUAGUGCAGCCUUGGUUAGUGGUAUCCAUUUACUCCAGGUACUAUUUAAUUGUCUUACAUCUUCUUUUAGUUUUUGUUUUUGGAAUUACCUAAUAUGUUCUUUACUGUUUGGCAGACAAAUCCAGAGAUAGUGAAAAGGUGGAGCAAUGAGGUUCAGGAAGCUGUGCAGUCAAGAGCUGCCCUUGUACAAUUUCAUGCACUGGCAUUACUCCAUCAGGUAUGGUUAGAUUUGAGUUUAAUUAGCAUUCCCAGCUCUAUGUAGAAUUUGAAUAUGGUUUUUAUGAGAUAAAUCAAAGAUGGUUGCCUAAGUAAAAAGUUUCUCUUUGAAGAUCAAUGGUUGCAGGUGAUAUACUUGCUAAAGGUAAUUUGUUUUGUGGAUGCGGAGUGGAUUUGAGUUUAAGUUAACAACUUCAUUGCCAAUUAUCAGUUCUAUGAUAGCAUUUCUUUUAUCAAAAAAAUGGAUACAUACAUUAUUGAGGCCUUCUUGGCAUUCUUUUUGACUUACCAUUCUCUGAAUGUUGUGCAAUUGUGCUACAUUUUUGUUUCAUUUUCUAUUUCUUGAGUUAUAUAUGAAUGUUCAUAUUCUUUGUGCUGUAUUUUUUUUUUCUUGUAUUAGCUGAAUCAUUGCUCAGGCUGCUUGAAUGUGGAUUCAGUGGACCAUUUUAUUAAGAUGCUUGUGCUUUUAAAACCAUGCAGAUACGGCAGAAUGAUCGACUAGCUGUCAGCAAAUUAGUUACCAGUCUGACUAGGGGAACUGUUCGCUCGCCGCUGGCCCAAUGCCUCUUGAUACGUUAUACAAGUCAGGUUAGUGUAUGCCACUUGAACUUAUGUUUGACAGUGAUAUUUUUUAUUUUGUUACUAUACAUGAAAUUGUUUUUACGUGCAGGUUAUUCGUGAGUCAGGUGCUAACACUCAAACAGGGGACCGUCCUUUCUAUGAUUUUCUGGAGGGUUGUUUGCGCCAUAAGGCAGAGAUGGUGAUUUUUGAGGCUGCCAGAGCUAUCACAGAGCUUAGUGGUGUCACAAGCCGAGAAUUGACUCCAGCAAUCACUGUUCUGCAGCUCUUUUUGAGUUCUUCCAAACCUGUGCUGAGAUUUGCUGCUGUCCGCACCUUGAACAAGGUAAACGAGUUUUCCUUUAAGCUAUUAAAGGCUAGAUUUUGGUUUUUCGGGAAUGCUGCAUGAUGGGUGCAAGGGGAAUAGGUAUUUCUUUCAUGAUUUUCAAGGAUUUGGAAUCACAUGCUAAACUGCUGAAUGUUUCAUCGAUUUGAAGGUGGCAAUGACACAUCCAAUGGCAGUCACUAACUGCAACAUUGAUAUGGAGAGUUUAAUUUCUGACCAGAACAGAAGCAUUGCCACUCUUGCAAUCACAACACUGCUUAAGACAGGAAAUGAAUCAAGUGUAGAUCGCCUGAUGAAGCAGAUUACAAAUUUCAUGUCAGAUAUUGCUGAUGAGUUCAAAAUUGUUGUGGUGGAAGCCAUAAGGUCACUGUGUUUGAAGUUUCCCUUGAAGUACAGAACACUGUGAGUGAUAUUUUUACUAGGCUUCAUUGUCAUCUGUUCUCUAAUUUAUUAGCAACCACAAGUUUAUGUUUUUUUUUUUUUCUUUUUGUUUGUAGUAUGAACUUUUUAAGCAACAUCCUUCGGGAAGAAGGUGGAUUUGAGUAUAAAAAGGCAAUUGUAGAUUCCAUAGUCAUUCUCAUCAGUGAUAUCCCUGAAGCUAAGGAAAGUGGGUUGCUUCAUUUGUGUGAGUUCAUUGAAGAUUGUGAAUUUACAUAUCUUUCGACACAGGUGACUAUCUAUCAAUUUAGUGAUUUUAUUUAUUUGUGUUUUCCUUCCGUCCCCUUUAAAAUCUAUCCUAAUUCACUUGUUGUUAGAUACUCCAUUUUCUUGGGAUUGAAGGGCCAAAGACCUCGGAUCCCAGCAAAUACAUACGCUACAUCUACAAUCGCGUACAUCUUGAGAAUGCAACCGUUCGGGCUGCUGCCGUGAGCACGUUAGCCAAGUUUGGUGCUUUGGUUGACACAUUGAAGGUAUUACUGGCAUAUUUGUGUGCUUGUGUUGUUUGCUCCAACUAUUCUAGGUGAAUUGUCAGUUGCUGACUGUUGAUUAAUAUUCUUGUGCUCUCUAUGCCAGCCUCGCAUUUUUGUUCUGCUGAGACGUUGUCUUUUUGACAGUGAUGAUGAGGUAGGUUCCCAUAUAAUAAUGGAAUUGCUGAACGUUCUCUUCUAUUGGUACAUUUACAUUUUUUUGUUUCUAUCUGUAUGUAUGUUCAUUAUCAAUAUUAUUUUUAAUAAAAGAUUUGUUUAAUGUUGAAAUAUUCAAUUUAUUUCUCCGUUACUCCUUUAUAAUAGUUUGAAAAUGUUAUUGUUGUUAGGUUUGAUUUAUGCAGUUAUCUCUCUGACUUGUUUUACAGGUUCGCGAUAGGGCAACACUUUAUCUUAAUACUCUUGGUGGCGACGGUGAAGUAGUUGAAACUGAUAAAGAUGUACAAGCUUUUCUUUUUGGUCCACUAGAUAUCCCACUAUUUAACUUGGAGACAAGUUUGAAAAAUUAUGUAAGUUUUUUCUCUGUCCUGUACGUUUUGUAUAGCUAAAUGACAAUUUUCAUGUUUAUUAAUGCGUUAUUGUUAAAAUGAGAGAUUUAUGUCUAUUAACCUUUGAAUUAGGGAUUAUGCAUUAGGGUCGAGAAAUUUAUGGAUAACAUAUAGUGUGAUAAGCUCCAAUAUCAAUACAACUUAUUGGUGCAUAUUUUUAAAUGUUUAUUGAUUGUCGUCAUCUGAUAUAUAUUAUUGUUCUUACAGGAGCCAUCAGAAGAGCCUUUUGAUAUUCAUUCUGUGCCAAAGGAAGUUAAGUCUCAGCCACUUGCAGAGAAGAAAGCCCCAGGCAAGAAGCCAACUGGUCUCGGUUCUCCUCCAGCUGGUCCCCCAUCUACUGUUGAUGCCUAUGAAAAGCUUAUUUCCUCCAUCCCAGAGUUCUCGAACUUUGGGAAGCUCUUCAAGGUUUACAUUUUAAACUCUUUAACUCGUUGGCUGAAUUUAUUUUGCAUUAAUGAAUCUUUAGACUUACUAUGUGCUGUUUCCUUAUUGUUCCUUCAACAGUCAUCGGCACCUGUGGAACUUACAGAAGCAGAGACAGAAUAUGCUGUUAAUGCUGUUAAGCAUAUUUUUGAUGGGCAUGUUGUCUUCCAGUACAAUUGCACCAAUACAAUACCAGAGCAAUUACUGGAAAAUGUAUGAAAGCAACUUAAUAUUUUUCCAAGUGUGUAUGCUUAGGGCUGUCUUUAUAAUGUGUUUGUCCAUUUUUUCAGGUUAUGGUUAUUGUAGAUGCUUCAGAAGCAGAGGAAUUUUCAGAGGUAGCAUCCAAGCCUUUAAGAUCUCUCCCUUACGAUUCACCUGGACAAACUUUUGUGGCUUUUGAGAAGCCAGAGGGAGUCCCUGCAGUCGGGAAGUUUUCAAAUAUGUUGAGAUUCAUUGUUAAAGAGGUAUGCUUGCCUUCUUCCUGCAGUGAUAUAUAUGCUUUUUCUUUCUGAGCCUGUGUUUUUGUUGGUCUUGUAUUAGAAAAUAAAUUAGGAAAAAUUGUUAGGGUUUGCUGUGGUUUUAUGGCAUGCAUAUACUUGCACAGGCAACUUUUAAAGUGACUUGUACCUGUGCUCUUAUGAUUAUGCAUCUAAGAUUAACCAAAUGAAAACAUUUUGAAUUGUUACUGUAUCCACAUCAGUUGUAUUAUGAAUUUUCAUUUCUUUGACUGGGUGCAUUUGUCUAGGUUGAUCCAACUACUGGUGAAGCAGAUGAAGAUGGUGUGGAGGAUGAAUACCAACUUGAGGAACUGGAGGUCGUUGCAGCAGAUUACAUGAUGAAAGUUGGGGUAUCCAAUUUCAGGAAUGCAUGGGAAAGCAUGGGCCCUGAUUGUGAACGAGUGGAUGAAUAUGGCCUUGGCCCUAGAGAGAGCUUGUCUGAAGCUGUUAGUGCUGUCAUCAACCUUCUUGGCAUGCAGCCUUGUGAGGUUAGUUGGUGAAAUUAUUCAAUUGCAUAGUCAUCCUUUAAUUACUGUGAAGGCAAUUGAGGACAGAGUUUUUAGCCUAACAACCUCUUUGUUUUCUCAAUGCAUAUCAAGAAAAUGAACUGAUAUAAUACAAAUGAGAUCUGUUAUGCGAUCUCUCAAAAUAUUCUGUCAUUCUCUGUUGUAUAAUUUAAUUGGUCUUUUUUCCUCUUCGAGUUGUGCUUCAUAUUUGGACAACUAAACUAAGCAUAAUGCAAGCAUCCUGUAGGGAUGCUUUUAUGCAAUAUCUCAAACAGUUUUUUUGUCCUCAAAUUUUGUCUAUUUCUUCUGGGUUUUCUUGUCCAGGGCACAGAGGUUGUCGCAAGCAAUUCACGGUCGCAUACCUGCCUACUAUCUGGUGUUUUCAUUGGCAAUGUGAGGGUUCUCGUGCGAUUGCAAUUUGGAAUUGAUGGUGCAAGGGAUGUUGCGAUGAAACUGGCUGUCAGAUCUGAAGAUGAAUCUGUCAGUGAUGCCAUUCACGAGAUUGUAGCAAGCGGCUAAUGUGUCAAUCUAAUAACUGUUGCUUUCUUAUACUAGCGCCAAAUUUUUGAUGAGAUGACAUGCAGGAGUGUGUUGACAAUAGCCGAAAAUGCUUGUUAUAGAAAAGAGUCGUAUGCUAUGCCCUUUGGAGUGGGAGCUUGGCUUGCUGGGGAAAAUGAUUUGCAUUCAUCUCAGAGCUUCUCUCUCAUCUUUUAAUACGGCAAUGAUAUACUCUUUGUAUCAUGCAAAUCAGUUCUAAAGGAGGAUUUUAUUUUAUUUUACAUUUUUACCUUUUAAAUUUUUUUGUGGAAUUAGUUAUAGGUUCCAUCAAAGCUUGUUUGACAAUACUUGCGAGAUUUAAUCGGAUAAGAAUUUGGGAAGCAUCUUCCCCUUCUUUUUAUUUUUUUAUUUUUAAUUUUUACAUCCAAGCAUUGUGAAUUGGAGUAUUUGUUAAUUACACCAUUCAUUCGAGAUUCAAACACUCGUGUUAAUUGCAUUGUGGAAAGAUAGUUUAUAUUUUUAUGUCCAGAUAUUUUCAUUGAAGUUUUCAAAUUUUAACAGGUGUCUGUGUGCUCGAUGGCUGUGUGAAGGCAUAUAGAUAAACUUCUUAAACUUUAAAACAAAAAACUAACACUUCAAUUUCUAAAAUUUUUUAUUUAACAUUUUAAUUUGUAAAAUUUAAUUAAAAAAACGUACAAAUAAUUGUUUCAAAAGUAGCACCCAGAAACACAAAAAAAAACACUUAGCUGUUAAUAUGGAAAAGUUUGAAAGGUUACCAUGUAAUACAUCCUUUACAAAGUUUAGAAGUGUCAGAAAAUUUUUUUUUUUUUUUUUUUUGAAAUAUAAAAGUGAAUUUAUACAGUUAACCGCACACAUAACCAAAUCAUUAUAUUCUGUUUUAGAAUACGCUUUUCUAGUUGCUUCGUUACCAAUGCAUAGUAUUAUAUACAAUGUACCACACUCACAUAGGAGUUGAAUCGAUAGAUUCUUAAAAUUUCAUUUCAUUAAAUAUUUUAUUUAUUACUAUUUAAUCUUCAAGAUUUGAUAAAUGAGUCAAACAUCAUUGACCUAGUAGUUGUUGUACUUCCGCCUAACGAAAAAUCAUACUAAAAUUUUUUCACAAUUGUGACAAAAGUCUCAGUCAGAACUUCAAUCGGUUUCCCUGGUUUUGCUUUACUGAAGAUUUAAAUAUUAAAUAAAUAGAAGUCGGAACUUCAAUUACAAAGAGUAAGAGCACAAGUGAGGAAUAAUAGGCCAUGAAAGAAACAAAUGGCUACUCCCAUCAGUCAAGGUCUUCGUCUAACAUUUUCCCUCUUCUUCCCUCAAACUCAGUUUUUCACAUUAAGGAUUACUAGAAGCAAUGGUACAAGACUAUGGUUUCUUUGCAUUAACACAAUGGAAUCAACCAAGAAGGCACAAUGCAAUUAUGGGGUAGCAGGGACUCACAAACCUUGGAUGAUAGAGGACCACACGGUAACUUUUUUCUUUUUUUUCCAUUCUCAAAUCACCUUCCUAUGGCCUCCGAACGCCCAAAUCUGAAAGAGAGCGCAAAUAAAUAUAUAGUCAAUUCUUUACAUAUAUUUGAUGCCUGGCAAAUAAUUUAGAAGAUAGAAAACUAUACCCUAUAGUAGCUAUAAAGCAGAUAACACUGUCACUAAUGUAGCUUGUUGAUAACGACCAUCAUAUGGACAUGAGUAGUUCCGCAACUUCCAUAUAGUUCGAUACAAAUUGACAACCAGCAUUGAAUACAACUCACAUAUGGUUGUUUAUAAAAGAUCCCAUUGAGACUUAAAACUAAUAAUCAGAUGUCAAUAUUAUAAUGACAGCAUGAAGAUAAGAUUUUAUUUGGGUUAGGUUGAUAAAGUCUAUUCCCCUUCCUAGAAGGGAUGAUCUUGACACACAAUAUAUGUUACAAUAUUUUGAAUAGCCCACCUGCUUCCAGGACAUAUGCCUUUAUCCAUAUGCAUAUAGAAUCAUAGAGCUGAAGUAAUUAGAUUGGUCAACCAUCAUGUAGUAAGGAAUAGUGAGCAAAAUGUAAUACUUGUUUUUGGAAACCAUUGGAAAGGCCAAAACAACAGAACAAUCUAUGUUUCUACAUCUAAAUGAGAGACGCAAGUCUAAUGCAACAGGUGUCAGAAUAAAGAAUUAACUGAUAUCUAAAGGGGCCAUGCCAUAAAAUUGGGCUCUAGACAUGCGGGAAAAGGCUAGAAUUCUACAUCUAAAUCAUUGAGCUAGUAAAGUUAAUGAAUUACACUCAUCAGACUUGCCAACAGGGAAUUCUACAUCUAUAUAUUGCCAUUUCUCAACAGGAAAUCUCAACACAAAGGAUGGGGGCAAUUCUACAGUUUUUUCUUUUGGGUGGGAGAAUGGGUGUGUGGAGUAUUGGAAGCAAUAUUAAUAUCAAGAGCAAGAACGCAAUUCUAUCAUGCAAAUCACAUGGCAUCAUAAAACAAUAUAGAGACUCUGUAUGCAGACUAACCUUUAGGUUUGUAUCAUAACUUCCUGUACACAAGGCACUCCCAUCUGCUGACAAGCCCAAACAGCUUAUCCGACCCUCAUGCGAAUUCUGCAGAGAUCCCAAGUUUAAAACAACCUGCAAAAAAAUAAAAGUCACAAUUCAAGUUGAUCUAUGCAAUGUUUUGUCAUGACUAGCUAAGUUUAGCCACUACUCGUGCAAACAUGUAUAUACAUCAAUUGAAAAAAGAAGAAAACUUGACACGUAAGGUUCACCACUAGGUAAUGACUCUAAACAAAAAAGCAGGUCUCGGCACUUUAAUGGAAGUUCUUUCUCCAUGAAGAAGAAAGGCUAAACUGAGUAAGGUUGGGUACUUCCACAAUUAGGACAUAUUCAACCGGCAAUCAAGGUGAGGCAUGAGGAGCAUCUAUAUGUUCUUGGUUUUUAAAUCAAUUACAGGAAAGACCAGCACCUGAAUUCAAGAACUAACACGGCAAAAGGUAACUAAACUGGAACUAGAAAAGGGAACAACAUAAAAUCUAUAUGGGAAGGACACAUACUAAAAGAAACAAAUUUUGUUUUAGAUCUGCAGGGAUUUCAUGUGAAAGUGAUGAAAGAACAAAAGAGUUCCUACAGAUGUUAAAGUACAAUGUUAAACAACUAAAAACUUAAAGCAGCACAGCUGUGUAAAAGGCUUACAAAAUUCUACGCAAGAUUAACGUCUAGAUAUGUGGGAAAUAACUCAAGCAACAAAGAAAACACGACAUAACAUGGUGAAAAAAAUCAUGCAUGUAUUUACCUGCGCUAAUAAAGUAUCCCAAACAUAGCAAUCACCAUUUGAAUAUCCAGCAAAGAGAAGUCUUCCUGAUAUGGAGAAUGCAAUAGAGGUCACAUGAGGGACUUCAUUGUCACCAUGCUGUUGAUAGUAUACUUGGAGUUGAUGCCCAGUUCUGAUGUCAAACAAUCUACAAGUUCCAUCGUCAGAUCCAGUUCCAAAUCUAUUGCCAUCUGGAAAGAACUUCACAGCAUUAACAUCUCCCUCAUGCCCAUGAAAAGUACGCACAGCUCGACUAGCAACGCGAGUAUCCCACAAUCGGGCGGUUGAGUCACAGGAGCCAGAUACGAACAUUCUUGAGCUUGACCCAUUGAUUGAGAUGCUGAAAUGUGGAAUGUUUAAUAUUAUUAAACUAGCCCUGAAGAGAGAACCCUAUCAGGAUAAACAAUUCCCCCUCUACAUUUUUAAUAAAUCCCGAAAUCACUUUUCAUUUUGUAGUCAAGGUUAUUACAGGGUCAUCCAAUCAUUAGUCCGUGUGGCGCUUGCAGAAUCCAUCACAUGCUUGUGAAGAGGUAACAUCAAUAAGAUGCCACAUUCUUGACAAGGAAAAAAAGUUACAGGGGCAUGGAUGCAAGCUUCCUAAAAAAAUAUUUAAAAUUAGCCCUUUGGAAUAUUAGUUUGUACACAGUCAAACUAAGAUGUCAAAUUUUGGAACUUGCAAAUGAGAAUUUUCUCGUAAAAUUAUAUCCUUCAAGUACAGGAUGACAAAAUGAAAAAGCAUGCAGUCAAAUUGAGAAUAACUCAAAUAUACCUCAGUACAUCUGCUGUGUGUCCAGACUGAAACUCUCCUCCAAACACAGAAGUCCUAAGGCCCGUGGUAAUAUCCCACAAAACACAAGUCUGAUCACCCGAACUUGUAAUUAGGUGAGUGUCCUCAUCUGGUACAUACUGACACGAGGAAACAUAACCCUUGUGCCCACUAAGCAUCUUUGAUACAGGCAGGUUCCCAUCCCUAUCAGUUGGUGAAUUAAGGUUGAAAAUAGAGCAAACACUAUCAAGACCACCACAAGCAACAGACUGACCAGUUGGAGAGAAAGCACAAGUCAUAACCCAUGCACAGGGCAACUUGAUGGCAUGAGUUUUCUGGCUUGUUAGAGCAUUCCACACUAUCAACCGCCCAUCUUGAGAUGCACUAACAAUUCGAUUUCUUUCAGAAGUCCAAUCCAAUGAAUACACCUGCAAAUAUCUUAUAGAUAAGAACACAUUUUCAAAAUAGUGAAUGAUAUAAAAUGCACAAUGUCUCAAAUACUAAGUGAGUUUAUCUCUCUUGGCACUUUGGAGUUUGUCAUUAACAUGUCAAAACCUCCUAUUAUAGGUCACAGGGUAUCAAAAAAUUAACUUAGAGAGAUGAUGUCCACAAUUUCUUUAAUGCCAGAAAUUUUAAUACAGUAGGUACUCCAAACAACGACACCAGACAUAUAUAACACAGGAUUAAGAAUACAGCUGGGCUACAUAUGGAUGAUAACUGGUUUAGUGAGCACAUGCCUAUGAGCACACGAGCAUUUUGGCCACUGAAUCAGCAAAUUUCAUAUAAUUCAGCAGGAGACAAUUCCAUGUACAUGUGAGGUCUUGGGCACAAAAUCAUUCUAUGUGUAAGCUUUAGUUGAGUCUCACUAAUUUGAGAGUAGUUUUAGUCUGUGAGUUCACAUGUGUGCAUGAGUGUGCCAGUGAAAAACAGAGUACAGAGGGGAAAGAAACACAAAAACACUAGAUAUCUAUAAUGAUAAGUAUAAAAUAUAUAAGUAACAAUAUUCCCACCACAUAAUAGAACAAGUAACAUAGAAGGAUUCAGUUUUCAAUCACAACAAGAAAAAACCUUUUGACAAUUCCUGUCACCAUUUAAGCCGUUAUAGACAAUCCUGUUAUAGUUCCCAUUUGUUUGGAUUUCAUGGAAUAUAUAAUAUCAAGUAUCUGACAAACUGAAUUUCCUCAGGCAACAAUUGAGUGUGAGAAGAAACUAAAAACGUUGAAUAAGAAAAUAGAGAGAGGAGUAGGAGGAGGUGAUUUCAAUAACACAACAUAAAAGUGCAGUUCAUAAGUUUCAGAACUUCUCUGAUUGUCCAGAUGCAAACUACCAAGUGGGUUGAGACCUUAUUCUUAAAGUCUGUUAAAUAAAACUAAGAGUCUAAGAAGUACUCUAUCGCUGUUAAGGAUUGUUAAUAAUCAUGAUAAUAAAAGGUGCAAAUUCAAACAUUAUCAUCAAUUCAAGGAAGUUUAAGUAAAAAAUAACCUAUCCUAUGUCUACUGUUUUAGAUAUAGAAAAAAUUAACAAGAUAAAGCUCUAGUGACCAAAUGCAGAUAGCCUGAAGUCACAGUGUUGCUCUACAUAUAUCCUAUACAUUAUUAUAGUAUUUGAUGCUGAUGUUGAAAAGUGUCCCCUAAUUAUAAUAAGAACCCCACGAUGGGACCCUAACUUGUUCUCUUAUCGUUAUUCUUAGUCUAGAAUGCUGUGAUAUGCAAACUUAUAGGGUUAUAAUCCAACUUGUUCCAUAGCAUGAUUACUAAAGGACAUCUCUUUCUACCUUCCAUCAAAAUCCAGAAUGCAGGCACACAUGCACCUCUUUUCAUUAUGAAAUAGCCAUCAUGGCGUACUGUGUCGUGUGAUCCAAAAGCUUGCUCCAGAAACAUUACCAAAGAUACCACAAUGGCACGCAUAUCAGUCUCCAGCUGCCAGUCAGAAUGUGGAACCACUUUUGGUUUCUCGAUUCCCUCUGUCUACCUUUGUCCUACCAUCUUCAAAUGCAUAACAAACCACCAGCACAUCCUCAUGAAGCACGAGUUCAAUCAACAUUGUGUCAAAAAACCCACAAAAACCAGAUCAACUUAUCAAUUUCCACAAUAAGAUGAGAUUCGGUCAUCUGUAUCCAUUUCCCCAGUUCCAUUUCAAGUAGAAUUAGAAGUUAAACAACCAUUAUUUCCUCUCAAAAUAUCCUAAAUGAUUCCACGAUUCCUAUUUCAUUAUAUCAUAUAAAAUAGUAACAACAAAAAUAAAACACAAGGACAAUCACGAACAAACUUCUGUUAUUUUCCCCAGAAAAGCACUCUAGACCUAAUUUCCCCAUUUUCUCCACUCAGUUCUCACUUCUAUUAAAGCUUACAACUCAUAAUUCCUAUCAAUCAACAAGUCAAAGGAACAAUGAACACAACAAUAUCAACUAUUACGCCAUUAAACAUGAGCUAAACACCAUUAAAUAGCCAAAACAAAAUAAAUCAAACAGAAAGUAAGCAAUUAUGAAUUUGAACAAAUGCAAACAAUUGUAUGAUAGCAUUAAUGAUUUACCUUGCCAGUGUGUCCCUGAAGCGUCCUGCAGCACACCAGAUCGGUAGGCCCAAAGCUAACCGGAGGCUUCCCCUGCGCCCUCGCGUAUCCAGCAACUGCCACAAGUUCAAUCAGAUCUAUUUUUACACAAUAAAAGAAAAAAGGAACACAAAUAUCGAAUUCGAAAAACACGAAAAAGAGAACAGAGAAGAGAAAACACCGUCAGUGUCUAGCAAAAGAAGCCGCUUCUGCUUCAAGCGUUCUCUAAGAGUAUUCACCGUCUCAGUCGCCGCCACGUGGCGCGCCUUUAGCUCGGCAACAGACAUUUCUUAUAAAGGAAACCCAAAAGAAAAAAAAAAAAAAUUGAACUAAAAAGUACUCAUUUCUUUUUAAGCUCGGAUUCGAUUCUGAGCUCUAGUGAUCAUUAUUUGAAAGUGAAGUAGCGAAAGCAGAAAGAGAGAAAGAAAAUUUAGGUGUAACAGAUACGGACUCAAUUAUUAGAGAGAGAAAAGGUAAACAAAUAAAUGCCUUUUAGAUUGCAGAGAGAGAUAAAAGGAGAAGGAAGCGGUGGCAGAGAUGGUGGAGAUGGUGCUGCUGCUGGUGGUGCUGCUGCUGGUGAUAAAGAGGUCUAAGAUCAGAAGUAACAGAGGUGAUGGUAAGGGCGAAACUGAAUUGACUGACGCCGCCGGCCCAGUUUUUCCCACGUGUCAUCUAUGUUUGAUGUCUUUUGCUCGGCACGGUUUGAUGUGAGACCACAGUAAAUUGUUUUCGAAAAUAACUAAAUAUCUACUACUUCUUUGCCGACCACGUAUGGUGAUUAAUUUUCUCGCUAAUGUGAAUGAAAUGUCUCGCUAUCCACAUAUAUAGAGUUCUAACUUAUUCCUAUUUUCAAAAAUGUAUUUAUGUUUCUUAAUAUAUUUUUAGAUUAAUAUUUGAUAUUAUUUUUAUCAAUAAGACUUGGUUUAGAUGUUAAGUCAACUCAAUAUGUUAAUAUGUUAAGUCAACUCAAUUCCCAUGAAAAUACAAAUUUAAUUUCCCAAAAGCGCAUCCUAUUUAAAGAGUUCAAAAUAUUACAGUUCGAAAAGAUUAGCCGUCUUAGUUAUAUAAAAAUAAUAUUAAAUAUCAUCUUUAAUAAAUAAUUCAAAGGAAAAUUACUAAUAAUAAAAUAUAUUAACAAAAAGCAUAUUGAAAAACUAACUUAACUUUUGACUUAUAAUUUAGAACAAAUAUAAAAAAAAACAAGCUAAUAUUUAUUAGAAAGAGCAAGUAUUUUUAUUUGGUUGUUUAUGUGAAUUUAAUAAUAAUAGUAAUAAUAAUAAGUAUAAAAUUAAAAUUAAAAUAAAUAUUGAUUUAUUGAUUUUUAUAUUUAUAAAAAUAGGUAUUAUCACAGACAAAGUCAAGUGGACUAAAUUUUAUUAAGAUCGAGUUCAGCUUGUUGAGAAUUUUCAACGAAUUUUUUUUAAGUCAAGUUUGGAGCAACUAACUUAUGAGAUUUAUGUGUUUUGUUAAUAUUAACAUUGAUAUCAUAUAUCUUGUGCCCAUUUCAUAUGUGUAAGUUUAUUAUUCUUUUAAAAAGUAAAAAUAAAUUUCGAGCAACUGAAACAUUAAUUUACAAAAUGGACGGCUUAGACCUGGUUUUAUUUUUUCAAUACCAAUAAAACACUUAUAUUAUUUAAAUAGUUAAUAUCAAAUUAAUAUUAUAUAUAUAUAUAUAUCCAAUAUUAUUAGAAACUAUUAUUGUUACUUUGAAAAGUUGUGCAAUCAUAUUAAAAUUUUAAAAGUUUAAGUACAUGAUUAGUUAUUUAUCAAAUUUAAAAUGUCAUAAGAUUAAAGUUGCAGAGUUAAUGAUAAGUCAUGUAUUGAUAUUAUAUUAAUAAAAUGAUUAAGUUUAACUCACUUUUUAAAAUUUAAUAUAUUUCACUGGAUACUUUAUACAUCAUUUAUGCCCAAUUAUGAAUAUAUAACUUUCACGUCUAGACAUAAAUAUUUGGCAAGUGGCCGAUAUUAAAAUAGGAUAAACUUUAAUAUCAUAUUAAAUUCAAUUGAUAAUUUAAUUUUAUAAUUAGUUAAAUUUACUGUUACCAUCUUCGUUAUAUAUCAUUUGUUCUUCUUAUAUUUUUUUCAACGUGAAAUUAAUCCACGCGCUUUUACAUGUACAGUUAAAUUAUCGAAUUAGAGUUAAAUUAAAAAAUAAUAACAAAUUAAGGUAUAAUAUAUCUUUUUUUUUUGAAGUCAUUUAAUAUUUUUAAUGUAAAAAUCAAUAAAUUCACAAGAAAGGUAAGCAAGAUGGUUCCAAUACAUCCUUGCUAAGAAAAGCUGUAAUUUAUUUAAUUAAACUCAAAACGGCAAUCUUUGAAAAGAUAAUUAUAAUGUUUAUUAAUGUUUUAAACAAGGGCUCAUGAUUUGGGGAAAAAAAAAAAAACCAAGGGCUCAUGAUCUUGUCUAUUUUAAUGUUGUUUAAAACUUGAAAAGUUGCAAUGAGAGAAUUUAAUAAUUCAAGAAGAACAAAUAUAUGUAUAAAACGUAAUUUGUAAGGUUGGAGGAGAUUGCUUAUGACAAUGCACCAAAAUAAAAAAUUUCCGUUGCCGGGAAUCCAACCCGGGUCUCCUGGGUGAAAGCCAGAUAUCCUAACCGCUGGACGACAACGGAGAGUUGUUGAUUGCGUCAUAUAAUCAAAAUUAGUAUCUUAUUUAAUAAAUAUGAUUAUAAACGAUUUAAUAAUAUAAAUUUAUAUUUUUAUAUGUAAAUUUACAACUUAAAAUAUUUAAUACAUCAGAUUAAAAUUAAAGUGUUAUGAUUUUAUUCUCGAUUCAUGAAAAAUUAACUUAAAAUGCAUUACGAGCUAUGUAAUAAACUAUAACUAAUUUUUAUGAUUGUGUGUUGUUAAAGUAGCAAACUUCAUAUAAAUUUGAAGUAUUAACUCACAAAUGAAGUGAAUAUUUUACAUUUUGUUUUUUUAACUUAUAAGAAAGGAAUAGUUUACAAAUUUUAGAUCCAAGUUGCUGUUCUUGUACUUUACUUUUUACAUAUUUUUAUGAAAAAUAAAAUAUAAUGGCCUCAAGGAUCCAACUUAUUUGAAUGAUUAUUGGACGAACUCUGUAGAAUGAAUCCUACUUGAUGAAUUCUGAAGAGCAUCAUAAUAAAAUGCUAUUAAAUUAGUGUUUUUAGUUGUUAAAUAUCAGUCUUGAAAUAUAAAAAAAAUUCUGAAAGUACUUCAAAAAAAAGAAAAAAGAAUCAAAACAGAAUAUGAAUUGAAGUGUGUUUUGACAUUUGAGGAAAGAGAAAUUUGAGCAAGAACAUCUUCUUGGCACAACCAUGUGGCCUCAUAACACUGUCAGAUAAAUAACAAAAAGGAGAAAACAACAACUUGCAAAUAGAAAUUUGCAGUUCUGGCUAUCACAAAAAGAAACGACAACGUAUUGCUUCACUGACAAGAGAUAUACAUAAUUAAAAAUUUUGAAAACAUGUGACUUGCUUAAAGCACUCUAGGUAUUCCUCUCUAACAUAAUUACACUUUUUAAGCAACCCUAACAGAAUUAAAUAACAUGCUAAGGAGACAGAGAUCUAAAACAAUGCUUCCAAAUCAAAGGAAGAAUUUACAAUGACAGUUAUAAAUAAUAAUUAUUACAACAACCAUUAAGCUACACAUACUUUAUUUAACCAUCCACCCCUUCUUUAUUCAACUGAAGAAUGAGCUUCUCUUGAUUUUCAGGUGCUUCCACCAGGAUAGACACAGCCAUUAUAACCUAGCAGCAGUUGAAGGUAAACUUUUUUUAUUUUAUUUUUUUUAAGGAAUGAACAGGAAAUGCUAAUAUAUAUGAAACAAAGAGGUAAUAGUCAAUUUACAAUAGCAAUUCUGUUUAAGCCUGUUAUUCCAACUAAAGACAGCCAUAAACCAUAAAACUAUCAGAACUUUUGUUUCUUGGUGGAGACAGAAACCCCAUAAAGAUGCAACAAAAGUCAAAAGCUCAUAAUCUUUUACAUUUUAAUCAUGCACCAAUGGUGAAGCUAAUCCAAUAAAGAAGACAACACCUUUUAUAUUAAAUUCUAUUCCUAUCACCUCUUUCUUAAAGUUAUGCUCAUUAUUAAAGAGUUGGCUACUAAUUAUUCCCAAAAUCAUUCGUGUAUAACCUGAAAUAAAUGAUUCCAUAUUUAUAGUAGCUUUGAGAUAUGGCUACUGUUUCAUAAUUUAUAAAAAAUAGAGUUAAAAAAGAAGAGCUGAAUAAAGAUAGCUUACUGGGAUUUUUUGAUGUAAGUGUUGCAGUCUGCGAGAAAUCACAAUUCCAUGGAUUCUUGCUAGAAGCUUGGUAAUAGAGAUUCAUGGCAUAAGCAGCGUGCGAUACUAAAUUAUUUGGUUCAAAACAUGCACCUCCAGGUUGAAUUGGGCCGCAAUCUAUGCCUUGACCACAAGCAUAGUCAAGACUUGCCUGCAAUUGAGCGUCAGAAACACCAGAUUUUGGCAUACACCAACCUGUUGCUGUUGGUUUUGCUGAUGGGGUUGCUGGAGUUGUGGGGGUUGAUGGCACCUAAAGAUGAAACCAGAAAUGGUAUUUUAUAAACCACUACAAUUAACAAUAGACUAAAUGCAUGCAAACAACGCUUAUUUAUUCCUAUAUAUCUGAUCGAUCUAAGAGCUUGACGCAUACAACGUCCCACAAUAUAUACAUUGUGAAAAGAUCAGUCAUAAAAAUUCUUCCCCCAAAAGUUUUAACACACAAUAAAUAUUAUUCACAAAGUCAUAAAAAUUUUCCCACAGAAUUUAACCCCUUUAAUUUCCAAAGGAUGACUAUGAACAGAACAUACCAUUUUAAGAAACCUAACAAGCUAUAAUUCAACAGCAACUGCUACUACUACUAGCUUCAAUAGAAAGUUUACCGAGCUGUGUUCAUGCUUUGCAAACAUGAAUAUAUUCUCUUACCUGGCUACUCUUUGUAAGACCAACAUCAUAUGUCAUAGAAAGAUCAGUUUUGAAAAGGCCAAAUGCUCUUUCAGAGGAAGGUCCGGGCUUCAAAUCUUCAUCAUAGAGUGCAAAGAGGUAUGUAUCUACAGAUUUUCCGGGCAUUAAUGGGGUACCAACCAAUGUUCUAAGGUGAUUAAUCAAAUUGCCAUUAUAAGCUCUUGCAUUUUCAAUACUAGGCCCUACUUCAUUGCUGUCACCACUAUAAGGCCAACCAGUCUCAGCAACCAAAAUCUCAAUAUCCUUGAAUCCGAUUGCAUUUAAUGCAGACCGAACAGCAUCCACCUACAAAUGAUUUUUCAAGUCAUUACUACAAGUGAUCAAUCAAUCGAAAGUUCCUAAGGAUAAAAAUUGGUUUAAUGAGAGACAAAAUCUAAGUUUAGUUAGCACUUAGCACUAGACUAUUUUAAAACAUUUACUCUUAGAACAUGUACAGAUCACCUUAAACAUAAAAUUUAGAAACCUUUUAUCAACAUUUUUGACAUAAUACUUUUCUCAGUAACAAUAAUUACAAUGCAAUAUUGCAUACAUGCUAACAUUUGUGCUUACUGUUUGAUGAUCAUCAUUUGCACAUCCAAUGGCUAACUCAUAGAUAACUAGUACAUAUAAACACAUUUGCACUGGAAUCAUUGCCAAUGCUGAUUCUAGCAAUAAAAAAGAUGGUCCCAUAUGGGGUCCCUUCAACAUUGGAAUCAAAAUUAGCCUAGCUUUUUUAAUUUUUAUACUAUUAUCCAUGCUUUCACUUCAAUAAUGAUACAAACAUUGGAAGUACUUUAAAAAAUUACAGCAAUGGCCAGCUUGUCAUGAGGCACAAGAAGUCACAUCAAUGUGUAAUUCAGUGCUUUGUGAGUCCGUGUCGUUUCAAUAAAAAAAAGAAAAAAAGCAAGAGAUGCGUAAAUAAUUAGGAGGAGGAAUUAGUUUCAAAUGCUUUUCACGAGCUUAAAGCUGAUGCGUGCACUCUACAUUCUUAAGAGUGAUCAAGCAUAAAUGUAUAAUUGACAUAAAAGAAAAAGAGCUAAAGUGGACAAUCGCAUCAAAAUUGCUUAGCUAAGAGUAUAUCGUUCUAGCAAAUUCAAAAUGUAAAUAAGUAACAUGGUAAAGAUGAAAAACAAAAUCACCAUUUCCAAAAUUAGUUUCAUCUUGUAAAUUUCAUUAUCUAAAAGAAAAUCAAUUCUGAAUAUUUAUCACAUAAUAAAAUUUAGAGGUAUGAUGUCAAUUAGUUCGAGUCCUCUUGAUCACAAGAAUUUUCACUAAUUUGGUGAUAUAUUAUAUAUGGAUUAAUCUAAUAAAACAGAUAAUUUUUGAAAAUUUCAUUAUUUAACUGUUGAAACUCACUAAGAGUCGUGAGGACUUACUUAGUACCCGCCCCAUACAACAAAGUAACAAUAACCACUAAAUUUUAUUCCCAUACUCCAAACUAAUUAAAUUAAUAGUUUUUGAUUCAAAUGAAAGUAUUUGUUACCGUUCGAAAAAAAGAAAAAUAAACCAUGACGGUUAUAGUUGGUAGCUAUUUAUAGAUAUGGUGAUAGAAAAGUGUUAUCUUUAACAACAGCUCAUUAAUUAUCUUUUACCUUGUCUUGAUGGCAUUAACAUUGUUGGGUUUGUGUAUGAAUAGAAGUAUACAUAUUCUACGUAAGAAAGGGAAACUUUACCUAACAGUAACAUGGAAAUUAUUUCUAACAAAAAAAUUAAAAAAAAGAAAGUGAUGGAAAACUGUAAAUGCCCCUUUUUAAAAGACUAAUAAAAGACUGCAGAGUUAUUAUUAUAAAGUAAACGCAAGCGUAGAAUUCCACCAUAAAAAGUCCUAGUCCUUCGUCAGUCGUCUCGUAUCCAAAUCAAAGUUAACGUCUCUUAUAAGCUUUCUGUCCUUGUGCACUUAAACUAUACGACUCGUGUCUAUACCUUAUAGACCUCACAAUUAAACAUUCCAUUUGGAUCCGGGCCCAACCCGGCCCAUUAAACCUACUACCGGUUUUUCUAAAGCAGUUAAUCUAAUUAAUAGUACUAAUUAUUGUCUUGAUGAUCUUACUUACCUGAGCGUCAAACAUGUUCAUGUACAUAAUCCCAUUGCCCGAGUCCACUCGUCCCGCGUUGGGUUGGAACAGGCAAAAAGCUAAGGUCUCUGGUCUUGGGUCGCUCUGGUAAGCGAAAAACGGGUACGGGUUGAUGGCCAGCGGGGACCCAUUAUCUCUCUGGAAUUGGAGUAACCCUUUCAUUGUAUCUUGAUAAGACGGAUUGAACAUUCCGGAAGAUGGCGGGUCGGACUGUGAUAAACUCGCCAUGGAAUGGACGGUGGAGACCUUAAUUUUGCCGCCGAGUGAGAUCGAGUUAAGCGCGUUGUGCAUAUUUUGCAUUGCUGGUAAUAGCUGAGAGAUCAGGUUCUGAUCUCCAGAUAACAAUACCUGAAAAGCCAAACAAAUCAAUUAAUCUUACUUAAUUCAGUUCAAUUUUAAUGGAAAAUUGGAAUUAAUAAAAGUGGUUAAAUAUGAUUUUGGAGGUGAUUAUGACCUCGUUUCCAAUGGUGAUAAGAAUGAUGUUACUAGCAGGAUAGUACGGCAAGACGUUGGCGUUAACCCACUGAGUCGCCGAGUUGGGAUCGGAAGCCAAAGCAGGAAUAUCACCAUUUGCAGCGCCAAUGACGAUGCCAAUUCCAGUAUUAGCAAGAGCUUUAAGAAAGGCAGGAUCGGCACCGUAAAGUCUCACUUUUUGUAUUGAAGUUGAUUGUAGAAGCUUGGCAGUGGCCGUAGGUGGCGGUAGGUUAUCAGCAAGUAGACCAUAGUUAAUGCCAAUAAACGACUCCGAGCCUGCAAAAAAUGGAAAUGACGUCGUUCUUUUAUCAAAAGAAAAUUUAGAAGCAUGUCUAUACUAUUGUUCCUUAUAAACUGUAAUACGCGAAAUUAGCGGCACGAACAUAAACCUUUAAAGAGGAAAUAAGAGGAAAAUGAAAAGAGAAAAUAGGAACUUACGAACUAAGAAGUUGAAAGAUAGAAUAAGAAGAAGAUAGAGAAAGAUGAGUACUGAAAACGCCAUUGUUUCUGUUUCUGUUUUUGAAAGAAAGGGAUCUGUUUCUUAUUUUUAGUGGUUUUGAAAUAAAUGGAGACGGAGAUGGAGAUGGAGAUGGAGACGGUGAUGGCGAGUGGGGAUGGGAGUCUAUCUAUUGGAGUGGAGUGCGUAGUAGUGGAUUGGAAGACUAUAACGGUAAUAAAAAGUAUACUUCAAUUAAUCAAACGUCGGGUACCUGGAAGCUGCGGAGCAAUGGGACCCUCAGUUAUCCAGAUUCCAGGCUCAUGUUCACACCUCCUAAGUUGUAGAACUAUGCAGCAGAUGGUCAUAUUUGUAGUAUAUAUAGUAUUGAACUGAUGUUAAAUUUAAUUUUGAUAGCAAUUGUUGCAAAAUUCAGAGUAUAAUUAUAUUUAUAUAUUAUUUUUUAUUUUAACGUGUUAUAAAAAUAAAAAUACUAAUUAAUUUUUUAAAAAAUAAUAGUAUUUAAUAUAAAUGUAUUAUUUUUAAAUAAAUUAUAAAAAUGAUAAUUCAAUUAGUAAAAUUAAAAUAUAAUAUAUAUGCAAAUUAGCUACUAGCUAAUAUAAAAAAAUUUAAAAUAUAAUCGACGGAUGGUUCUAUAAGUUGUUUAUUAAAAUGUUUAACAAAUACUUACAAUCUAAUUAUUGAAUAUGAAUCAACUAUACGAAUUAGUUGAACUAGAAACACUUAACUUAUUAUGUUAUUUUAUUCAAUUCACAGAAUGUUAAGCUCUGUCCGACUUUAAUUAAUUUUGAUCUAGCUAUGUCCAAAAGAGAUUAUUGUUAUAUUAAUUAAACAAAACUUACAAAAUAAAUAAUAGUCACGUAUUUUGAAAUGAGAUUAGUCUUAUGAAUAUUUUAAAAAUCUUAUAUAUAAAAAAAUAAAAAAAAUCGUAAAUCCGAAAUGAGAGCCACCUCAUAUAAAAAACGUAUGGAAAUAUUAGUGAGAAAUUUAAAAAAUAUAUAAAUUGAAUUCGAUCUUUCUUUCUGUAUACUUUUGGAAUAUAAAUAAAUGAUGGAAAUACUAUUAUUAUCAUUCACUAGAAGAUAUUACCCUUGUCUUAGUCUUGACUUGUUUGAUCACGAAAGUUCCAGUCAAUGUGCGUUUGAUGUAAUUGAAGGGGGAAUUUUCAUACAUAAAUAAAUAGUGAUGCUAUGACAAUUUUUUAUUGUACUACGCCUAUUUCAUUACAAUAUAUCAUAAAUAUGAUUACAAAGUAUGUUCAUCGGUUCAUUUUGAAUCAAAACCGAACUAUACUAUAGAUAAAUUAGAAUCGGAUUGAAACUGUUGGUUCAAAAUUUUGAAUCGGAACCGACAGUUCAAGAGCCGGUUAAGAUUCAUGUAAAUGUUAAAAUCUGAACUUAAACCAGCUUUGAAUCAGCGGUUUCGGUCCGGUUCGAACCAAAAAUUUCUAUUUUUAUUUUCAAAAUAAUAAUCACUUAGCAUAUUUUAUACAUUUCUAAAAGUCUCAAUGAUAUUUUACAAUAUGAUAUACUUUACUUAAGAUUUUUUUUUUUAAAUACACUUUACUUUAAAAGUUAAAAAUAUAAAAAAUAAAAUAGUAAAAAAAGAGAGAAAUAUUUAAUAUACACUUAUAUUGUUUUUAACUUUUAUUUUACCCUUUUAGAUUGUUUACUAAGUUUAAAAUUACAUUCUUUUGAAGUAUUUUUCAAAAUUUUCUCAUAAUUUAUUUAAUUAAUAACAUUUAAACAAAACAAAAUGAUAAUUUAUUUGAUUAUUUUGUAAAAUUAAUUAAUUUUAUUCUUCUACGAGUAUGAGCAUUCUACAAUUUAUUUAAAAUAAAAUCUACCAAUAUUUUUUAAACUCAUAUUAAUAUUCCGAAAGAAAGAUAUAACGUUAAAAUCGAUUUUUUUAAAAAAAUAUAUAUAUAUCACUGAAAACCAUGAUCGGAACCGUCGGUUUAUUGAAAUCACACCAGAACUGGCAGUUCAAAAAUCUGUUCAGAUUCAAUAUUUUAAAAAUGUUAGACCGUCAGUUCUGAUUCACGGAUGAACAGGAACCGACGGUUCAAUGAACCCGCCGUGCCUACAACAAUCCACGUAUGCGUUAUCAUUUUAGACGCGACUUACAGAUCAAGUACAACAUAAUUGACCUCUCUGCUUCACUUAAAAUAAGAAAAGUUAAAUUAUUAUAUUUGGGUUCUUCACUUAUACAUUAUUAUAAUAAGAAAUGUCGUUAAUUAAAAGUAUAAGACUAAACUGAUUAUAUAAUUCCAAUACAUUGAUCCAAUUGGGCUUCAACCUGAAAAUAAUUAUAAUUAGGAAAGGAAAGAGUUGAAAGAAACGAGUUACAAGAAAAGGAAAAGAGGGGAACUUUCUGCCUAAGCGAAAAGGGUUUCGUCAUAUUAAAUUACAAUUACAUUGCUGGCGCAGAAGUUACAUGGAAUAAAGGUCGUUUGCUUUGGACGAUCUCAACCAACCACCAAUCGGGUGUGGAAAGUAGAAUUUUAGGUUUCACCACUUACUAAAGGUGACGUUCCCAGUGGACCCAACUGCCUAUUUUCUUCAUAACCAUGAGCGUUUAACACACGCAAGUCUUGGCUCGCAACCAAACCAUUACCAACCAAACCAAGACUUCAAUAUGUACAUAUGCACAGAAACUAGAAAAUAUAAAGGGUGAAUAAAAAGGAAUGCAGCAGUUGAUAAUUCAUUUAAUCUUUGCAAAUGAACAAACAUCAAAUCCAAAAGUUACAUUAGAAUCCAUUUAGGUUUAUAAAGUACUUGGGCAUUAAUGACGUGUUAGUUCAAGUCGUCUCGCGGAUCUUCUUUCUCUCUCUUCUUUUUACCCAAAUCAUUCCAUAUUUCCAUUAUUAAUUCGUCCUUACACGUGAUGUUCAUAGCCUCGCAAGAGAGAAGCUCCGUCAACAAUCGUCAGUAUACUUGUGCACGGUGUACAUGUUAUCAGACCAUAGAGUCAACGUAAAUGACCAAUAAUUAGAUAGUAGGAUGUAUGAUAAAAGCUUAUUCCAACUCCAACUGUGUGUGUUUUUUCUGGACAUCAAUUUAUGGCAUAUAAGCACAGACACAAGUUAUGCCCCCUCUACAGAAAUAUUUUUGCCACUCAACUAGACAAGGCAUAAGGCUCACCUAUGAUCCACAGAAACUUCUAGCCAUAGGCAUCUCCGCAUAUCCAUUUUCCUGUAUAAAUACUGCGUUUUUUCCUGUAAAAUUAUAUUUCGAAUGUCAUUUCCCCGUAUCAUUUCCGUGCUUCCAUGUCCAUGCAACCUAGAGGCUCACAUCACAUGAUAAUGGCAGCGUUACCAUUUAUUAAAGAAGUACACAUCAAAACCACAUCACUUUAACUUGAUAUCAACUCCCAAAUUUAUAGGAUGAUGACAGGUUCAGCUCUAGAAAAAAGAAAAUAUUGCUUCCACCAAAAGGUCGGUCACAUAAAAAACAAAUAAAUAAGAAGCUUUCACAAGCAAAAAUAAUACAAAACUUCGUUCUCAUUACAACACAAUCGCAUUUGGAAACCCUCACAACAAUACAGGCCAUCUAGGAACAAACACCAUGAAAAAACAAUCCAGAAAGUUUCCAACAGUUGGUUAUACACAAGGAAUAACGUGAGCAUAACCGACAGCAUGAAUAUCAUGAUCAGAUAUUGACAGAAAAUUGAAUCAAGGGAAAAAGAAAUGAAGUCACCCUCAGCCAUCCUAGGAAAGUAAAAUGGAAAUCGAAACCUGAUUUGGCAAUAAGAUUAUUAACCGCCAGAGUGAGAGACUGGAGUAGUUUCAAAGUGGCCAUCCUUGAAUAAAUGGAUAUACUGUUGUGGCAAUGCAUGUUCCACCUACAAAACAAAGACAUCAAUUAAUUUAGUCCCUAUUUGGUGUAAGUGAAAACCAUAAUAUUUUCAUAGAAAAUCAUUUGGGGUUUCAGUUUUCAUGUUUGGUGUUGUAUGAGAAUGUUCAUUUUACUCGUAUGAAUUUAAUUUUACAGAAUUCAAUGUAAUUAAACCAAAUUCCAUCAUUUAUAAAUCUCAUACCAAAUUCAUUUAUACAAACAAGGGGUUGGUUGAUUGCAAAAACUCCACCAUACAUUUUCAUCAUGGCAAUGUCUCGUGUUGUGGUAUAUAGAAGUUGCAAGCAUGGAGAUCACCAGUGCCAUAGAUAUGUAUUAUGAAGCACUUGGAAAAUGUCACCCCAUGUACCCUACACAAGCCAACAGUUGAUAGGGCUCUGAAGCCAAGGGCUUCAUUCAGUUACUGCCCAAAGAAUGCACGUAGGCAUCCUUCAGUCAUCGGAACUUUUCCUUGUACACUGUCUAUUACAGCAAUAUUCAGGACAGGUUAAACCAUAGGUUUAUUUCACUGAACUGUUAGAAAAAGAAAAUCUGAACAAAUGCCUGCCAGUAGAAAUCUGUGUGAUGUUUUUUUGCCUACUUCUAAAAAGUAGAGUUGAUUACCUAUAAGCCUGCCCACACACCCCACCCUCUACCCAGAAACCAUAACUAAGCAGACAAAGGAGGAAAAUAUAAUAAAUAAAGCUUUGAGAGUUGAACAGAGUAAAGAGUUUGUAACUUACCCAAUCACCAUCAGGCUGUGCACCUGGUACCAGAACGUUGACCUCACUUGACUUGGCUGUAGUUAUAGAUCCUCCCAAAGAGUCUUUGCUUAAAUAUAACUGGCAGCCCCCCGUGUUAUCUAUAGAAAUAGUUGGGGCUGAACCCUAGAAUGAAGCGCAAAUGGUAGAUCCACAUUAGGGCAACGUAGCACUCCAUAAACUAAGAACUAUACCUAUCUAUUUAAGAAUGAUCAAUAGCACUGCCCAAAUAUAAUUUGAUAUUCUAGCAUCUGGACAGAAGAUAUCCUACAAAUUAUUAAGGAUUCUAUAUAGAAAAUAAAAUAAUAAAGAAAUACCUGGCAUUGAACCUCAACACUACUGCAGUUUACAAUCUCAAAAGCAGCAACAACAUCCUGUUUAUAAGUUGAGAAUGUAGAAUGAGCCAUCAUCAAACUUUAAUAUAUGGUUCCACCAUAGGGAGUAAAAGUAAUUUUCAGUCAUUUUAUUUUUCAAUUUGAGAUCUUUCACACUAACCGUAAAUAGAACUCCCAUCUUAGUGCAUUUGUCAACUGUUAUGUUGUUGACUUUCCCUGCGAAUUACCAGAAUAACAAAUACAUUGCUGAAUUGUAACAUAAUGUAUGUAGAUGCACAGCACAAUUUCAUGAAUUCUUAGAAUGGUUAAGGUCAAAAAGUAUGGUAAUAAUGCAAAUAAAAGGUACCUUUAAUCUGCAAAACAGAAUCUUUGCAUCCAAAAACAUAUACUGACUGUUUCGCAUCACAAUUAUCAAUUACUAAGUUCUUCUUUCCAACCUGAUUCUCAACAGCCCACCUGCAAGAAGGAGGAGAUAAUACAUGAAUCAAAUCCUAUGCCAAUAUUUCUUCUCAAACUGAAAUCAAACCCGAACAUAAACAUGAUGCAUACUCACUUACGACCCAUUUGAAGCUCAAGCUUUGGAGGUCCUGCCUUAGAGAAAGAAGGUGAACUGACACGGGCUGCUUUUUCACUGGCACCAACAACACCAGUUCUAUCUGCACGAUUCUUUGUCUUCAUAUCAGCUGUGACCUUCCUAAGGCCUACAAAGAAUUUUUUUUUUUUUUAAAAAAAAAAAAAAAAAAAAAUCGAGACAGCCAACUAAAACUCCAGCUGAAAGACACAGGUUUUAUUUAAUCUGAAAAGAUAAGUACCAGAAGUCACAGACUUGCUCGAGUUGAUUUCUUGGAAAACAGCAGCCAUCCCUUCUCUUGGUUUUGAUGAUGAAGGCUGAGAAGAUUCAGAGCUGAAGAGAGAAGCUGGUGGGGGAGGUGGAGCAGCAGGAGCACCUGGUGGAGAAGCUUUGGAUGGACCAGAAGUUGGUGCUUUGGCAGCAACACCCCAUGUUGGGCCCAAGGGAUAAUGACUCUUUACAUAAUCCCUUAAACCUGGAAGAUAAAGCUCCUUCAUGGCUUUGGCCCACUCAACAUGAUUUGGGUCUUUGCUUUUAUACUCUACAAGAAUCUGAAUUUUGCAGUGGUGUGUUAGAAACAAGUUAAGGUUAAUUACACAGCUCCUAUGUUUUUUUAAUUCAGCAAUGUCGGUAUAGCACAACCAAUACAAGUAUCAAACACCAAAAAAAGAACUAAUCAAUGAUGGCUUAAUAAUGCUCUAAUUCUUCAAGUUUCCUCUCCUAGCGUUUUAACAUUCUUUCCCUCUCAUGAAUAAGUGAGCAUCAGGAUUUUGAAAGAAGUCAUUUAUGAAUGGGAACAAAAAACAUUGCAAACUUAAGAUUUACUUUUUAUUUGUAUCCAUCCUUUACUAAGGAUCCAGUCAGGCAAAUUUUCUUUCUGUGCCUAAACAACAAACGAUUAGAUCUAAGUGGCAGUUCCCUAAAGUGCGCGGGUGUAUACCAAGUAAAUAUAUAUAAAGUACCUUAUUGUUGUAAAAUUCAGCCAUUUGCCAACUUUCUUCAACAUGUGCAAUUGGCAUGUUCAUACCUUAAAUACGAAGGAAAAAUCUAAAUCAAAGACCAUAAAAAAAUAAUUAUAUGCUAUGAGAAAUAAACUACAAAAUUCACUUACCACAAUCUUUUCCUGUAUACGCAAUCCACGCUAAAGCUGUCAGACUAUCAGCAGCAGAUUUCAAGUGGUUAAAGAAAUCAGAUCGCCUCCCCUCUGUCAUUGCAUUUGCUUUCAUGAUCACUUCAUUCAAAGGUUUGAGAAAUUCAGCCAAUCCCGCCAGGCCAGGUUUCUACACCAAUGAGAUUAAACCAUUCAAUCACCACAAAUCAAAGGAAAUAAUGUUGCAAAGGGAAUCAAAACUAAAGUAGGCACUACAACCAGUGCUAGUCAAUACUAUCAGAAUGCCAAGCUUUUAAUUUCAUCUUAGAGCUAUCACUCAGUAAUUACAUCAUCAAUUCCCACUAGCAAACAAUGAUACCAAGUGCAAGAUGAUGCGACAAUUCAACCAUUGUAUGUUCAAAGAUCUUAUCAAUCCAAGAAUGAAAUGGAUUUGGCUAUUUUAUAAUUCCAUAAAUCAUAAAUCACAAGCAACUGCUGCUAUCUUUUAAACAAUUUCCCCUCGUUAUGCUGACUUACUUUAUUCAUUUUCCGCCCAUUUAUACAGAAAUCAAAUGGCAUCAGAUCAGAUUCAUACAUAAAAGAUCUAGAAAAUAAGGCCAUCUAUAAGAAUGAUCUGAAUCAAAUUCAUCUAAUUCCUCCUUAUUCCUUUAUGCACUGAGGUGGUGGCCCUAAUUGCCCAAAACUAUACAACGUAGAAUCAAUCUAAGAAGAACCAGUAUUCAAUUUCAAUCACUAUUGAAGCAGAUUAAGAAAUGAUUUAUAUCGUAAUUCAGAUACCUACUUCACCUAAUUUCACAAAACCUUACUGCAGAGUGAUAAACAUUAGUGUUCCUUCAGAGCAAAACAAAUGCUACACUUAAAAACCAAUCUCCAACAAAAAUCUAAAUUCCGAAAUUAAGGGGAGAAAAAAUAAAAGGCAAAACACUACCUGAGUUUGCUUGGCCUUAACGAGAAGCUCCUUUUGAACACUAAAAGCCUGUUGGAUAAUCUUUGUAACCUCCCAAACCUGUCCUCCAAUCUUCUCCGCAGCACUAGAAACCCUACCUAAAUACUGCCCUAUAAGAUCGUCGAAAGCCAAAAUUGACGGAUCCGACGCAACAUCAAAAGCACCAAAGUCCAAACCGCCACGUUCUCUGAUCCCCGACGUCGAUAGCGCCUCCAAUCGGGCCACCGCCGAUUCCAGCCUCGCAAUCAACUUCUCCUCCAUUGCCCAACCCUCCCUCCUUCCCUCGCUCAAUAUCCUUCUCUUUCUCUAUCUACAAUGUAUAUAUAUAAACGGAAAAUCUGUGACAGAUAGAGUAGAUCUGAUUGAAGCGUGUGUGGUUGCUUACUUGCUUUGCUUGAGGAUUUAAUGAGAGAAUGUUUUUUUUUUUUUUUUUUUUUUUUUUCUGUUUUUGUUCUCUGUAGGACGCCGAAAGUGAGAGAGAGAGAGAGAGAUUUGAUUUGCCUUUGGAUAGUGAUGUAAUUUUGGAGUUUUUAGCGGGUUAAGAGUUAAGCGAGGGAAUCCGAGAUGACACGUGUUGGCUAUGGAGGAAAUCUUGGCUGUUCUCUCGAUAUGGAAACACAAACACCUGUAGCUUUUCAUUCAUCAAUAUAGAUUAUUUAUUAAUUACUCCUAUUAAAUAUUAAUUGGCCUUCGUUUUAUAGGGCCAGGAAUCGGAAAAUUGGGGUACUUACUGAGCAUGGGCCACUUCCAAGUUCCGAGCCACGGUCAAUCGAAAGAUAUGUCUACGUACACUUAUAGAGAGCUCUCUGUUUUUUAUUUUUUUUAUUUUCUAAAAGAAUAAUUUUUUUAGAAAUGAAAAAAUAAAAAAUGUGCAAAUGUGUUCGUUUUAAUAAAAAAAAUUUAUAUUUUUAAUUCAAAAUUUAAGCAACUUUUAUAAUCAAAACAAUAAAAUAUAAUUAAAAAUUUUAGAAAAUUUUUGAAUGGAUACAUAUUUUAAAUAAUUAUUUAUUUUAGAUAUAAAUAAGAUAUGAGUUUGACAUAUUAAAAAUAAUUAUUUAAAUAUAAAAUUAAAACUCUGAUAAUAUCAUUAAUUACGUUAUACAUAUUCUAUAAAAAUAAUUAAUUUUAUUACAAUAUAAAUUAUUAAUUUAUUAAAUAUAGUAAUGUUAAAGGAGUUUGAUGGGCAUUUAGUUCAACACAACCAUUUUGUAGACAUUUGGCAAGGAUUUUAAUCUGCAACUGAUAGCAAAUAAAAGUAUUAAAGAGUUGUCGAUCCAUCAGCUCUGUUUUAAUACUUUUACGAAAAUUUUAGCGGUUGUAAUUUUUAUAUGAAGUUAUGAUGAUCUAUGAGUCCUGAAUAAAAACCCUUAUUUUCUUAAAAAA
rnacentral:lncRNA from 1 species